UUAUAGUAACAAUGAAAGGGGAGAGCUCGGCAGCAAACAAAGUAAAGGGGUGUUUAGGAAUCCUCGGUCGAGGUAUAGAAGGUCGACGAGUGGAGCUCGAUGCAUCGAAUUUUGGAAACUCAAGUGCCAAAAUUACGGGACGCUCCUCCACUGAUGGAUUUUUACUCCCACGUACAUGUGACAUUCCAAAGUUUUUACGAAAUAUUCCGGGAAAAAAAUGAAAAAAGAAAAUUGUAGAUGCAAGGGCGGGCUUGAAGAGGUUGAGAGAGUGAGAAAUAAUCGAAAUGAAAACGAGGAUAAAUAGAUAAAGUUCUUGUCUUGGUUGACAACAUGAUAUUAAGAAAUUAAUUAUAGAUUUUGCAAAUACGAGAAUAGAAUCGAGGAAUGGUUUUGCAAAAUCUAGACAGAAAUGGGAGGAAAAGUCAAGAGAUAGUUAUUACGAAAUCUGAAAAGAUGGAUUUCGUAAAUAAUUUCGUGUGUUUUUGAAUUAUUUCCAUGACUAGCUACAGCAUUUAAAACAUUAUUUGAAUUAUAAACAAAAUAACAAAUACAUAAAAGUUGGCAAAUAAUAUAAAAUUAAAUGUUUUACAUGAUGAAAAGAGACGAACUCUAAUUGAAGCUUCAAUUUAAUCUCGACAAACUUGUUCGAGAAUAAUGUGAAAACGGAGUAUUGGAUGGCUAAAUUAGGCAUGUAUACGCAUAUAUACAUGUAGUACCUAUAUAUAUAGUUGUACACGUACAUACAUAUAUUUUACGAAUCCAAAACCCUAAACGCUAAACCCUAAAUACUAAACAAUUACGUGCGUGUUUAUGUACAUAUAUAUUUGUGAUCUUCUACUUUAUGACUCCAUGCAGCAUCGUUACGAGUACUUCUCGUGCAAGUUAUAAUAAAAUUCUUCACAAUUCCAGAUAUUCCACCAUUUAUUUAUUCUUAUUUUGACAUAUUAUUUUUCCUUUCAUUACUAUUUUUCUUUUCCUUUUUGAUCGACCUACUUUUGCUUGACUGGAAACAUAAAAUCCGAUUGCUUGAAUCCAGAAAAUUCAUAAAUUUGGGCAUCAUAUAUCAAAAAUCUUAUAGCUAAAAUCCAACAAUCAGCAUUUAUUGGUGACCGAUGCAUUCUACUAUAGGAAGUAAUUAAUCGAUUAAAAAAAUCACUAUUAUAUAUAAUAAUUAUAAUAAGAAUUCUUUAGAGCAUGCAUCUAAUUAAUAUUUGUUUUGGUAUAGGUGUUUAUUGUGUACGAGUAUAUAACGAAAACCAGUCGUUAAUUAAAUUCAGUUCAUCGAAGGGCCCAAAGUUUUUAUCAACUAAGCUAUACUUUGACUAACUAAAAUUAAAACUAAUAUUACAACUUAUAAAAAUGAGUCGAGAAGCACUCGUUAUUUUUCCUUACGGCAAGCAGCUAACAGUUAUAAAUAAUCAACGAGGUACAACAAGAAUUGUACUGAUUUCCACAAAAAUAAAGAGACGAUUUUCUAUUUGGCAUCUAGAAAGUGACGAUGAAUAAACACAUUCUUUUAGUCUAAAACAUUGCAUGUACGUACAUAAAAAAGUUCAACACUACUUGAAGAUAAUCUUAUGAAAAUGCAUGCACAAGAUAAAUUCAGAUACGUACCACCGUAAACUUAUUCUUCGAGACAAACCUCACUUUGCCAUGGGACGAGAAUCGGACUACGGUGUCAACGUACGACUUCACCUGGUGUCAGAAUUUUCAUAAUAAAAACAGUAUUCAUCUCAUUUGACAAGUUCAAUGAUCCCUAAAAAAAAAUUAAUUGACAUUUAUUUAGAUCUAAAAAUUAUCUAACCAAGCACAUAAAGAAACUUUCAUUGAAGAUCCAACUCAAUUACAACCUAUGAAAAAAAAAAAAAAAAAAAGAAGUGAAAUUGUUUAUGAUUCUGACAAAUAAAGAAACAAUUUUUCGAUCAUGCAUAUUAUACGUGCGGCAUGUAAAUCAAAUAUUUCAAUGUAAACAAAUAGAAAAAGAAAAGGAAAACUUGUUCCAUCUCAAAAGGAAAAUAAAGUUUAACGGAAUACCAAAUUAUCUACCGUAUAAAAAAGUAAGUGAGAGUAGGUAAGUACCUUUACAAGUAUACGAUAACCGCUAAAAGGUGAACUUGAUAUGCAACAAACAAGGAAAUACGUAACUGUAGCGUCAUCUCUAUACAAUAAUGGGAGAUCGUUCACUAAAGUAAUCAUCUGCGGGUUAGAAACAAUAUAUAAUUAUAAAAAGAAAAAGGGAGAAAUUAAAGCGAAACUUAGCCACCGCGUGCUCAAAAUUAUGUUACGUAAGAUUCUACUUCACCUCUUUUUGGAUAGUAUAUAUUUCUGAAAACAUGUAGCAUGGAUAAAAUACAUAAGUUUGUUUUCAAAAUUAGAACUUGAUAAAGAUAUAUAUGUUUAUUCAGUUUACGUUACAAAAUAUUUUUCCCUCGUUUAUAGGAAGUCCUUUGAUUAAAGUCCUCUCAGCUAAAUUUGGAAGAUCACAAUAUUCACAAUUAAAUCCCACUGUAACUAAUGGGAAUGACUAAAUUCAACGAACGUCGUAUUCUCUUGCAGUUAACGAACGUCGCUCAUGCAAAAUUCCGGGAUCUGAAAUCAGGUACAAAUCCGGAAUAUAUUGGUUUAAACAUUCCUAUUGCAUUGACAAAAAUCAAAAAAAAAAAAAAAAAAAAAAAAUGAAUUAGAUCUUGCAAAAGAAAUUUCUGGAGUGUAAAUUAAGCAACGAUUUUACCUACGAUGAAUUGAUUAACGAAAUGUACGCACUAAAUAGCACACUGCAAGUUAAAGACUAUAGUAUAGCCUAAUCAUUUCAUUUGCAUUUGCAGCAGAAAGUUAUAAACAAGUUAUAUAUGAUCAACGUUGAAUAAAGGGAAAAAAAAUUAUAAUUUUUUUGUAAUGACUCGUAAAAUCACAACUCACUCAAAACCCGCUCGCAGUAUCUAGUAUUUCUAGAUUGCAAUUAAAAUUACAUUUUCAUGUGUAUAACGUGCAUGAAACUGGGAAAAAGAAAACACAGAAAGAAAUCAACAAAUAAAUUGAGAUGAAGACCCACGUAACUUUGAUAAAUCGGAAGUGAGAAUUGGGGGAGAAUCUAGUACUCACAACUCGGAGGUAAAUUCAUUACAUUAUUUUCUAAAUGGUUUGCAUUGAGUUUGAGAUAUGAAUCUUGUGAUAUGAAUUAGGGCUGUUUGAUUUGGGAAUUUAGGUUUAAUUUUGUAUUGAAGCUGCGUCGUUUUUGAAGAAAAGUGGGGAGUUGUUUCUAAUAAAUCCCUUGUGUUAUAAAACUAUGGACUUUAGCACAUUAGAAAAUAUGGCAUUGACAAGUGUCCUAAAUAGGUGUAAUAAUUAGAUUAUAGAAGUUACCUAGUGAUGACAUGUGUAAUGGUGACUAAGGCAUUCUCAUGCCUAUAAAUACUUGUAUUUUGUAUUCAAAUGAACAAGAUAAUAUACAAUUUUGCUAGCACCUUUCUCUCUCUCUACUCUCUCUCUCUCCUCACAUACUCUCUCUAUCUUUCUCACUCACACAUUUAUAUUAUAUUAUAUUGUGAAUGAUAUUAUAUUAUAUUAAUUAGUAUAUAUACAUAUAUACAUAACCGUAUAUACACAUAUAUAUAUUAGUUACAUAUUAAAAACUAGUUAAUAUUGAUUAAUUAAUAAUAUUCACACCAUUAGUGUUUCUAAUAAAAUAUUUAAUAAACGAGCUAAUGGGAAUUAUUUCACAACACGUUAUCAGCACGAGGUUCUGCUCGAAAGAAGGUAGGUUAUGUAAGUUUGUUUAUGUUAUUUUAUUUUAUUUGAUAAAAUCCAAAUCCUCGAUAUCAAAUGGUGAAGCGAAUACUACGGUAUUUAUACACCACCGGCUUUCGGAGGAAAUGAAGGAUAUAUAUCUAUAAUUAUGUGCAUGUUAAUUUAUGGAAAAAAAAGGUUAUUAUCUCUCGCCUCGACUAUGAAUUUUCAACUUGCAUUACAUGAUUUUGAUUUUGUAAAUUUAGAAACAUGUAAUUGGCAUGUGCAAUUUUCGAUUUAUUUAUUUAAUAAUCUUGUUUAAAUUAGCAAAAGGAAAUGGGCUGAUUUAGAUAAUGAGAAAUGAAAAUGACUCCAUCGGAUAGGAGUCCAAAUUAAGGGUCGAUUUAAAGGCUAUAUGAUAAUUACUCCGAACAUAAUGUUCGUAGAGAUGAUGGACGUUGUAGUCCCCAAUAAUGGCCGAUAUAAAUGUCGUAACUACAACCCCGGGUGUGAUGCCCGUAGAGUCACUAAAAAUUGUGAUUCCCCUCAAAUGCAAAUGAGGUUAUUAAAAUAAAAUUAAUUGGGUGAUGUACCUAUAUAAACGAUUGACAUUUUUGGAUUGAAAGUCCAUUAUAAAAUUAAAUAUGGGGUUAGACCUACAACGACGAUGUGACAGAUAGUCCUCGUCAAGAUGUUCUUAAAUUGACCAAGGUAGAUGUAAAUAUUUCCGCCCAGAUAAUCAUUUGGUCAAAAUAAAUCAAAACUCAUGAGUUUAUUGCCUACAAAAUAUAUUUUGGCCUAUGAGUAAAGAUUAUAUAUUUGAGAUCUAGCAUGAUAAUAUUCUUAAUGGUUACGAUAUAACUCUCUCGAUGUAAUGGUUUUCGAGAUUGAAUUUAUUUAUUUAUGAACAUACCUCCCUCGGAUGAUAUAUACCUGAGGUUGAGCCUAUAAUAUUUUCUUGAGAUAAAUACAAAUGAAGUCAAAUUUAAAUACUUCUCUCGGAUGAUUUUAUUCCCGAGAUUGAGCUAAUUUCUAAGAUAACAUUUAUAUAUCUCUCUCGGACGACAUAUGCCCGAGUUCGAGUUCAUAAUAUCUCCCUCGGACGAUACAUUCCUGAGGUCGAGCUUAAUUAUAUAUUCCCCGAAUAAAAAUUUACGACUCUCUAGCUCGGACGAUUUAUUCCCGAGUUUAAGUUAGUAAAACUCCCUUGGAAGAAAUAUUCCCAAGGUCGAGCUUAUACACCCCUGAUGAUAUUGGUAAUAUUUCAAAGUUAAUUCAUAUGUUUACUAAUUGUGUAACAUGUACAUAUCUCUCUCGGAUGUUAAAUUCCCAAGAUCAAGUUUGUAAAACUCCCUCGAACGAGAAAUUCUCGAGGUUGAAAUUAUAUAUCUCUCUUGGAUGUUAGAUACCCAAGAUUGAGUUAGUAUUUUAUGAACAUAUUAUUUAAUAUGGAUGUACAUGUGAAACAUAAACAUAAUAGACUAUUGUCUAUAUAUUAUAAUUUCGAACUUUGAAAUUGAGUUAUAUAUCUUUCUCGGACUGAUUCCCGAAAUUAAGAUAAGCUACAUAUCUACCUCGAAUGACAUAUUCAUAAGGUCGAAUUUUAGAAAUUCUCCUUCAGAUGAAAUAUUCCUGAAGUAGAGUUUGCAUAUCUCCCCUGAAAUAUAUAUAUAUUCCCGAGGUUGAGUUUAAAUAUCUCCCCGGACGAUGUAUUAGUCAAAUUGACAAUUUAAUAUAUUCUAAAAUUUUAUUGAGUGUGAUAUUGCGCAAAGCACGAAGUAAAACAAAAUUAUUUUCCGAAGAGAUUAUGGCUCCGGAAAUAAACAAUUGUUCCGCUUAUGAUAUUAAAGGGGAUAAUUACACUUUUCGUCCCCAUACUUAGCACCUAAAAUAAUUUCCGUCCUCAAACUUUCGCCACCACGAAUUUAGUCCUCAAACUUGCCAUUUUUUGUCACUUUUGGUUUGGCCGUCAACUCACCCAGUUAACUUGGACGGAAAUGUCAUGUGCGUCGCACGUGAGGUCCAUGUGGCAGUCCAAAUCAAGUUGAAAGAUGAGUUGUACGACAUCUCAUUGUCUCUCUCUAUCUCUCUGCUAUCUCCCUUACAAAUCCUUAAUCCAUUUCCUACAAAAAACCCCAAUUUCUUACUCUUCAAAUUCCCAAAACCUGAUCACAUAUUCUAGUAGCUAAUCACUGCACAUAUAUUAGUUUAAAUUUUCUAGUUUUUUUGUACAAUUUCAAUUUUUUAUGUUCAAGAAAAAAUGCAUGCCUGCCCACACUAUAAAUCAAACAAUUUAUUUAAGGUUUGAAUAAAUAAAUACUGGCAGUCCUCUCGAUACUCGAAAAAUCAAACGCAAUCUUCGAGGAUGAGGAAUUUGGGUAGGGUUCUGGGAAUUUGAAGAUGAGGAAUUGGGUAGGGUUUGGGGAAUUUGGAAAUGAGAAAUUGGGGGUUUGUGUGGAAAAGGAAUUGUGAAUUUGUUGUAGGGAGAUAUGAGAGAAAUGGAGAGAUAUGAUGAGGUGUCGUCCAACUCAUCUUCCAACCUGAUUUGUACUGCCACAUGGACUUCACGUGCCCCACACAUGAUAUUUCCGGAGAAAACAGAGGAAAAAAAAAAACAGAGAAGAGAAAACAGAGAGACGAAAGAAAAAAAGCUAGAAGCAUAAGAAAAGUUAAAUAUAAGAUUAGGGUUUUGAAAUAGUAUAAUAGACAACUAAGGGUACUUUUGGAAUUAUGAAAAUAUUACAUGGGUGGAAUAUUAACUAAAGGAGUUUUCUCUAAUUAUUUUUAGAGGGGGGUGUUUCCUUAAUUAUAUUUUCUAUAUGAGGGGGUCUUGCUAAUAAUCCCAAUUUAAAAUGGAUUAGUCAGGCCCCCUUUUGAAAAUUAGCAUCUAACUUAUCAGAAAUCUUAUAUACCGUACUUGAAAGUACUUAUUUACUAAAUUCAUAAAUAUUUAUUCUGUAAAUAUAUGACAUAAUGAAUAUAAUGAAUUUUCAGUUUUAUGUAUAAUUAAAUAAUAUCUUAGGCAAAAAAAAAUUAGAAUUGCUAUUCAUAUUGGAUCUACAAACAUAAAUUUAUUUUGAAUCUCACAAUUAUUCUGUCAUUUACAUAAAUAUUUUGUAUCUUAGGUAUGGUAAAUAUAUAUAUAAUUAUGUCUGAACUAAAAUAUCAUAAUUAUUUUAUUUUUUAAACUUAGUGUUUUUUAAAAUUAUGUAUAUAAAAAUAUAAUUUAUUUUGAGUAUUAAUUAAUUAAAUACCUGCACUGGAUAUUUUACAAAUAUAAAAACUGUUGUGUUCAAAUUUUACUAUUUGCUUGAUUUGUUAGAUAUAUGAACGAACCUGCCUCGCACGUGUCAAAUCAUGUUCAUUCCUAUUUUUCAAAAUUGUAACAAGAUUUGUCAAAUCAUGUUCAUCCCGUACGUGUCGAAUAUUUUUUUUUUAUACAGACAAACCCAAUAGAUUACGGUCCAAAUUGUACUUUUUCAUAAAUAUAUAAUUUUAUAUGAUACUAUCUAUAUUACGAGACUGGAAUUGAACGAUAUAUAUACAUUAGGAGUAAAUUAUGUUAUAUAUUGUUACAAGUUCAUAGAAGUUAUGGAUAUAAAUUCAUAUAGAAUAUUAAGUAUAAUAUACUGAUGGAUUAAUUCCAUUUGCACCGUUCAAAUGUAAUUUUUUGGCACUUCCCACACAAAAUCAACAUUAAUAGCAUUUUCACACUCAAACAAAAUAAAUCAUUUACAAUGUACUCCGAUAUUAUUUUUUAAAAGUGUAUGAUGGAAUUUUCAUCUUUUUAGUGAAGUUUUUUCAAGGUGCAAUAUACUAAAUUAAAAAUUUGUUUUAUUAUAUCCAUCAACCUAAUAUCGAUUGAAAAUGACAAAAAUAAAUAAAUGUUACCUUAGAUUACUUAAAUGUCUCAUUAGUAUUAGCAUUAACAUAAGUAGUAGUGUCAGUAUUAGUGUCAGUGGUAAUAUAAUGUUAGUGUUAGUGUUCGUAUUAGACUUAGUAUUAGUAUUAGUAAUAUAUAGUUAGUAUUAGCAUUAGAGUUACUAUUAGGAUGAGUGUAAGUAUUAGAGUUAGUUUUAAUAUUAGAGUUAAUAUUAAAAUUAAUAUUGGCGUUAGUAUAGGAUUUAGUAUUAGUAUUAGUAUUAGUAUUAGUAUUACUAUUAGUAUUAGUAUUAGUAUUAGUAUUAGUAUUAGUAUUAGUAUUAGUAUUAGUGUUAGUGUUAGUAUUAGUAUUAAUAUAUAUUGGUAUAUAUUGAUAUUAGUAUUACUAUAUAUUAGUAUUAGUAUAAGAUAUUAGUAAUAUUGGUAUUAGUAUUAAUAUUAGUAUCAAUAUCAAUAUCAAUAUAAAUAUUAAUAAUGGUAUUAAUAUUAAUAUCAAUAUUCAGUUUCGAUAUCGGUAUCGGUAUCGGUAUUGGUUAUUAUUGGUAUUUGUAUUGGUAUUGGUAUUAGUGUUAGUAUUAGUAUUAAUUUGUUGAUUUUUUUAAUAAAUACUUUAUAAUCUUAGAAUUAACUCCCAUGCAUUGCACGGGUGAGAUACUAAUUUUCCUAUAAUUUGAAAUACAUAAAUAACGAUGUUAUAAAUGUUACCAAAAAGUCAUAUGAAAUUUGCAGGAAUAUCAAUUUAAAAUUUGUCAGAAAAAAAAAUAGGGCAAAUUACGGCUACCCCUGAUGUAUGGUCAAAUUACGAAAAAACCCCUCUUGUUUGGGUAAUUAUAGCCACCCCCUCCUUUAAAUAUUUUUACGUAAAAUUUAUGUAAUUCGGUUAUUUACCGAACCAAAUCGUAUAUUUUGUUCGGUAAACGGUAUGAAAUGUUGGCGUACCGAAUUUUUGGUCUGGUUUUACCGAAUAAACAUCCCUAAAUUUACCUCUGGAAGGGUCUAUUCGUAAGAUAAAUACAUAGUUGAGGGGGGUGGUUGUAAUUACCCAAACAUAAAGGGGGUUUUCGUAAUUUGACUAUAGAUCGAAGUUUGCAACAAAAAAAAAGGAGCAAUUGUUAGAUUGAAACCUUAGGGGGAUUUCUUUAGUAAUAAUGGAUAUAUAUUUGAGGAGUUUUUUUAAAUUCGACCAUGUGGGGUUCUGGAAAUAUUUAUAAUUUUUUUUUAAACUUUGAUUUAGAGACACUAUAGACAUUAUAUAUUUUUCUGUAAAAGCAUUUAGUCGACAGAUUUGUUCGACCCUACACCCGGUGAAAAACACCGUGUGGGUCUUCUGCUGCCAUGUAACUCUUUUUUGUAUUUUAUAAUAUAUUCCUCGCUAGGGUUUACCUUUAGGGGUUUAAGAAAAAAAAAAAAAAAAAAAAAGACACGUGGCAGCAGAAGACCCACCCGGUGUUUUUCACCGGGUGUAGGGUCGAAGGAGCCUUAGUUGACAUUUAGUUACCAGUUCUUUUUUUUUUUUCCUAUAAUUAUGUAAAUAUACUUGAGAGGUUUUUUGGCAUUUGGAGUGAAUGAUUCCUCUCUACUAGUAGUGAAGUCGUGUGGAGUGAAUCCUUCAUUAGUAAUGUUUGUCUUUUUUUUUUCUCUGCAAAGGAGGAUAGUUCCUCAAUUUUCCUUUGGGUGACUCGAACACAUGACCAAACAGACCGUGGUUAGUCGCGUUAAGUGAGUUCGCUACCAAUAGUUGAGUGAUUCCCAAUUAUCCCUAUCAAACUAUUGCUGUUAUGCGUGGCAUGUUGGUGCAAGUCAGAACGGAAUUUCUGAAAUUCGCCGAUUCUAAUUCAUUUUUUUAACUUUGGAUUACGAUCUUCAUCCCAGUAUCGAAUUUAUUUGGAUCUAAAUUGGAAUAAUAAAUAUAUUUUUGAAUAUUUCCGAUUGUUGAUCCAAUUUCGAUAUUCGGAAUAAUUCCGAUAACUACGACUUUGACCAAAAUAUUUGAUAAAGUAAUUAUUUCACGUUAUAUUUACAAAUUAAAAGUAUAUUACAUUUUGUAUUUUAAUUAUGUAUACUUUAUGUAUCUGUGGUAAACAGCAUAAAAAAAACCCCGUGUUAAGGAAAUCAAAUACCCCCUUGUGUUUUUUUUCUUGCGUAUAAAACCCCCUUGUAUUUCAUUUUACUUUGCACGAAAUCCCCUUUUCUGUUAAAAGUUAAUGUCGUUAACUAUAGAGGGGAUUUUAUGCAAUUUCUCAUAACGUAGGGGAUUAAGUGCAUAUUUUCUACAAUACAAAAAUUGCAAAAUACAAGGGUAUUUUAUGCAAAAUUAGUUUAUUCUUUUAAAUUUCAUAUUAUUUUGUUAGAUUAAGUACUCGAACACAUUUAUCCAGUUGCAAUAUGAAAAAAUAGAAAUUUAAUAGGUGAUAUGAAUGUUUUUUCAGAAAAACACAAUUUUUACAUGAUAAAAUUUAUUAAUGUAUUUAAAAGUUUUGAUUUUUUAAAAUAUAUAAUUAUUUUAUUAGAAUUAUUAUAUAUUUUUAUAAUUUAUUGUGGAUUAGUUAUAUGUGAAAAGAACAUAAAAAUUUUGAGAAUUUGUUCCGACUUCCAACUCGAAUAUUAUUAGCUUAAUUUUCAUAUUUUAAAUUAAUAGAUGUAUUCGACUUAAUUUAAGAAAAUAAUUUGAAUUUUAAAUGAAUAAAUUCACCUAUAUUGCAAAAAACAUGCAUAAAAUUCCCUCUAUAGUUAACAGUGUUAACUAUUAACGGAAAUGGGGAUUUCAUGCAAGUAAAAAUGAAAUACAUGAGGGUUUUACGCAAUAAAAAGAUCACAGUGACGAGAUUAAAUUCCGAACAAAUGUGCUGUUAAUGGGACAUAAUCGGAUCCCACUAAACAUGCUACACGUUUACAAAUUAAUGGAAUUGGGUUCUUUAUUUUUUGGGUUUAUUUCUUUUUCUCUUUUAAUUACAAUUGGAUAUUUUAUAUAUAUAUAUAUAUAUAUAUAUAUAUAUAUAUAUAUAUAUAUAUAUAUAUAUAUAUAUAUAUAUAUAUAUAUAUAUAUAUAUAUAUAUAUAUAUACAUAUAUAUAUAUAUAUAUAUAUAUACAUAUAUAUAUAUAUAUAUAUAUAUAUAUAUAUAUAUAUUCAAAGUCGACGAGUGUAUAUAUACGCAGUUUAUGCGCAGUAGUAGCGCAAAUUGUGAGUUGUUAUAGCGCCUGGUUUUUUUUUUUCUAUAUUACGAAUAUUCAUCAAGAUUAAUCAAUGUACGUAUAAAUCAAAAGUACGAACGUACAUACACCGCGUAGUUUAUUCGCUAUACUAGCGCAAAUUAUGAGGUUUUAUUGCGCUUAAUUAGUUAUUAAUCGUUUCAUAUUUAAAACAUAUUCGAGCGUACGUACGUAGAAUAUUAUGCGCAAUAACAACACAAUAUCGAAAUUUAUCAAAGUAAGCUCUAUCACUUUUUUUAUUUUUUUUAUUUUGUCCAUUCAGUAUUAACUAUUAAGUACAUAAUCUCAUAUUACGUAUCUUCCAUUAUGUAGUAGGCAAAAAUACUACCAUUGACCAGUCAAUGAAAAAUCCAGACAAUUUAGUAACUAUUUUAAAAAUUAAAUAAUUAUCAAUAUUUGUUACACAAAAUCUGCACCAUCUAAUUAUACAUUUAAUUUCCAUAAAAAUUCCUAUCAAGUAUAUAAUUAAAUAAUAAGCACUGGAUUUUCUCCUCCACUAUUAUAUUAAGCCGCCACCACCACCACCACCACUUCACCACCAUUGCACCACCGUGAAAAUGAAUCCGUUAAACUCAAAUGCAAGACCUUAUAUACCGAAAAGGGAACGUGCACUACGAGACGAAAGGUCGUUGUUCAUGACCUUCUCGAGCGAUGCACCUCUCACGUGGCGGGAGAUUUCCAACCAUUUUACUAGGUAAUUCAUUUUGGAGUUAUAUAUAUAUAUAUAUAUAUAUAUAUAUAUAUAUAAUUUGAUUAUUUAUCUAUUAAUUACAAUGUGAUUUAUUAUUUUGCUCGUGACAGAGAAUACGGAGAUGUGGUGGCGCACGUGUAUGUGGUUCAACAACAGAAGUUCGGGAAGAUCACUUUCAAGAUGGUCGAUCUGCCGAGAAUAAUAAUGGGCAACAACGAGGUUGUAAGAGUGAAGAUAAGAGGCAGAGAUGUUUGGUUGAAGCAUUACGUACCUCAAGAUCUCCGCAAUAUUAAUAAUUAAUAAUAGACAUAUAUAUAAAUAUGUAUACUUCUUUGUAAUUUGCUACAUACUUAUUGAAUGUAGAGUAUGUAUAACUUGAAUGAUAAAUGUAAUUUUUCUUACUACUUUGUUUUUUUGAAAUAUAUUCAAUUCUCCAUCAAUAUCGUUGUUAAAUAAAUUAAUUAGAAGUGUUAUAAAUUAACAAAAUAUAUAAAUUGAGAAUAAUGAAAAAAGUUCAAAAUAGUUUUGUAAAUUAGAAAAUGAAAGAAUAAGAUGUUCCUUGUAACAAAAUAAAAUCCAAAUAGAACACAAGUACUAUUAACAUGAACUAUAUUUAUGCAUUAUAUGUUUUCAUCUAUCGCAAAAUUAGCGCAAGAAAUGUAAAUAACGGGUUUUUAAUUUUGCGCAAGAAAUGUAUGUAGCAUGUUAUUAAUUUCGCGCAAGAAAUGUACGUAACAUGUUAUUAGUUUUAAUUUGCGCAAGAAAUGUGCGUACAUGUUAUCGUUUUUAAUUAGCGCAAGUAAUGUACAUGACCGGUUAUUAAUCUUGCGCAAAAAUGUACGUGACGGGUUAUUAAUUUUGCGCACACUUAAUUACAAUAUCGUUUCUUAUUUAAUUAAUUACAAUUUCAUAUGAAAUAUCAAUUAAUCCAGUCAAAUAGGCAGACCAAGAAAAAGAAAAGAAAUAGAGAAUCACUAUAUAUUUUUCCUUUCCCAUAUAAUUUGCAGUGAAAGAAAAAAUCCAGGCAGUUUAGGCAAAGCCAUUUUAUUGCAGUUAGUCAAAACAUAAAUCUGUAAUCUCAGUGUACAAAAUCUCCAAUUGCAAGAAAAUAUUAAUUAAUAUUGUGCAUCUCUUGUUUCUUUUUCUUCAUAUUUUUUAUUUCUUAUUUUCUUUUAUCCUCCAAAUUAAUUUUUUUCACUUAUAAAUCCUGUUGAUUUAGUGUUACAUGUUCUUCAACUUCUUCGACCCUACACCCGGUGAUAAACACCAGGUGGGUAUUCUGCUGCCACGUCGACUUUUUUGCAUUUUAACCUUUAGGGGUUUUAGAAAAUACAAAAAAUGACACGUGACAGCAGAAGACACACCCGAUGUUUUUCAGCGGGUGUAGGGUCUAAGGAGCCCUCUUCGACUUCUUCCCUAAUAUGUAUCUUAUUAUUAUUAUUAUUAUUAUUAUUAUUAUUAUUAUUAUUAUUAUUAUUAUUAUUAUUAUUAUUAUUAUUAUUAUUAUUAAUAAGGUAGUCUUUAUGAACUAGGGACAAUGGAAAACUUUCAUGCAAUAACUUAGAAUAUAAAUACAAGACGGAAUUUAAUGUGAAUCAUAAGAAAUCCUAAAGAAAAGGAAAAUUUAAAUAAUAGAAACUAAUUAAUCGGAAUAUCAAUAUAUAACUUGAACCCAUCAACAAAACCUUCAAAUUACAUUAACACUUUCGUUAGGGUUUUAUUCAGGUGGAAAAAUAUUUCUGAAUCGUUCAUUAACAUGAAAAAGGCAAAAGGCGAACACACGAGUUCCGACUCAGUGGACACAAUAUCCGAGUUGCCGAAAGACAUCUUGCACAGAAUUAUGUAUUUCCUCACCCAAGAAGAGGCUGUCCGAACAUCUGUCUUGUCCAAACCCUGGCGUUACAUUUGGUGCACUCGCCCCGUUCUUAAUUUCUCAGACGCCGCCUUCAAAGGUAACAAACAAGAAUUUGUAGAUGUUAUUGACAAGAAUUUGCAACGAUACUAUGAUCAAAGGUUGUGCGUGGAUGAAUUUCAUCUCCGUAUAUCGAAAGGCUAUUUGAAUCACGAAUCUUAUUAUCUUCUUGAAAAAUGGAUUCGAACACUCACGGUUAUCGGCACGAAGAAGUUCCGUCUCUCUAAUCGUACGGAGAAUGGCUUUGUUUACUAUGUGCCUCCCGUAGUUUUUGAAGCUCGAUCGCUUGAAGAUUUGCACGUAGAAAUAUGCACGUCGGACGAAAAGGAGUACGGAAGGAUAGUAUUCUCUAAGCAUCUGAAAAAACUUCAUCUCGAAAAAAUCUACAUUCGGGACGAAGUUUUUCACAAGGCAAUCUCGAUUUUUCCUUUUGCGGCUAUCGAAACCAUGUCUCUUGAUUCGUGCGAAGGAUUACGGAACGUUAACAUUACCAAUCUUCGUAACCUCAAGAACUUUUCUUUUUGUACGAAACCCUUGGCGUAUGAUCACGAGGAACGUUGUAGCAUCGAGAUCCAUCCGCCAUCUCUCGAGACCGUCAAAAUUACGUUCGGUAACCUUCGGUUCCGCAGAGGAGCGGAUUUUCGUAGUCUCAAUAAAUUGUAUCUAUUCGGUGUGAAAUCGAAAUUGGACCAAUUGUCCUCAUGUAAAUUCCCGAGUCUGAAAGUCUUGACUAUGCACUAUUGUUACGAACUGAAAGAAACGAAGUUAUUUAUCGACGCACCAAACAUAGUCAAAUUUAGAUAUCUAGGAGAGUUUAUCCCAUCCAUCUCUUUUGCGACAACUAGUUCUAGACAUUGGUCUUCGCAGAUACAUCUGCGUCCGAAAAACGGCGCUUCUUCGUCUUUGUGGUUCCAAAAGCUAAAAGAACUGCUCGAUUCGUUAGGUCAAUCGAAUUUUUUUUUGUUUAUUGUCGACAAUUCCGAGAACGAUGAGGGCAUCAUAAUUCAAGACGGCGGUUGUGAAAAAAAGCAUGUUGUGGUGGAGAGCUUGGGGAUCCAAUCUCGUUUAUUUUCUACUUUUUCUUCUCUUUUGAACGGCGCGUUUAGUAUUUGUCGUCCGAGAAACAUCGGUGGGUACGACCUCGGAAGGGAUAAUGACAAUAUCGAGUGUGUGCGGAAGAUUCUAAUGCAGAGGGAAAGCGAAAACCAAUUAGAUCAAUUCUCGCAGAUGUGGCUUCGAGAUUUGGAGGAUGUGAGCUUGGAGGUUUACGACAAGAAUCGGAAUGAAUGGAUUGCGACAAGUGUGUCCGAAUUGCCGAACUUUAAAGAAACAGAAUAUAAUUAUAUUCGGUUUGCAUUGAAAUGGAGAUAAUUACAUCUAGUGAGAGUUAUAGACGAAAAAUCACUUUAAUUUUGUUGUCUUUAUAGAUCCCGGUUUUUAUGCAUUCUGAAUCACUUUGAUUUGUUUUAAUGCAUGAACGGUUAACAUUUAGUCCUGUGAUUACACGGUCGGAAAUUAUUUGGUAAAGAUGAUUCGAAGAGAGAUAAUGUGGAAUUCAUCGUUCGAACAAACUGAACAAUCAGUACAUCAUAUGCAUGCUAAUUAUACAGAACAAAAUGCAGCUAGCCACGAAAUCUUAAAUAUAAUCGAACUCAUUAGAUAUACUUUUGCAUUUUUUUUUUUAUUUAGAAAAUGCAGUAAAAUUUCUAGCCUUUGGAGAAAGCAAAAAUUAAAAUAAAACACGGUUCAUCGAAUCCGAGUACGUAAUAUUAAAUGACUUAGACUCUGCUUCGUCUUUCUUUCUCUUUGUUGGUUAAUUCGAAAGUGUUAAUCCUUCAAAUUGCAUGUCAUUUUACCCAACGGUUUGGCCUUCGUUUGUUGAUAAACAUAGAAUUUGAUUGACAAUAUAAUUGAGGUGUCUGUAACUGAAAUAAAUUAUAAGGGCAUUUUCAGUAACUCGAAAAAAUCAUAAAAGUUAACUUCGGUCAAAAAAGGGUAAAAUAGAGAGUUCAGUUAAUUUUUUUGAUGAUGUGAUCAAUUUACCUCCAAAAAAUGGACGGAGGGGCAAACGAAAGAAUUUGAGCAUCCAAAGCUGCUGGUAUGAAAGACAAAAUCUUUUCCCUUGUUACAGUGAAAAUCUUUUCUGUUUUUGCCAAUUGAUUGCAAUUUGAUAUAUAUAUAUAUAUAUAUAUAUAUAUAUAUAUAUAUAUAUAUAUAUAUAUAGAAAACUGAAGCAACUGUGCAAACUUUAGCUCAUGAUCUCCAUACCAAUACUCAUUGAUAUAUACAUAAUACAUAUAUAUGGUUGUCGAAAAUCUGUUUUUUUUUUUUUUUUAAUUUGCCGAGGCGAGUUGUCUCUGUCCUCAAAACAAAAAUACCUCCGCUACGGUGCUUACGGCUUUAACGGAAAUCGUUUCCCAAGAUACAACGGCAAGACUUGGAAUAGGAGCACUCCAAAUUCCAAGUACGACGAGCUGUACUUUUUGUGGAACUUUUCGAGAGAAUCUGGAGAAGGUAGCUAGAAUUGCAGAAGAAGAGAAAUGAUUUUCGGAUUAAAAGUUAGGAAUUAUGGGAAAACAUGGGUCUAUAGGAUUUGAAAAGUAGUGUCCCUUGGAGCAAAAAGGUGCAAUACCCACCGGUUCGCCCCAUUUCGGCUAUAGAGCCGUUGGACCGAAUCGAUUGCACCAUUUCGAUUUGAGCCGAUUGGUUUGCACUGGUUCGGCCCAUUUAAUUUCCUAAUGUUUUUAAUUAGCAAAAAAUAAAUGUAAUGAUUGGAGCCCAAGCCCAAAUCCGAUCCGAUCCGAGACGGCCGGUUGGACGUCGGUGCGCGGGCAUGAGUCGAAACUCACAACAUAACGGCCUAUUUCUUAAUGUUUUAGCCCAAAAAUAAACGUAGUGAUUUGGGCCCAAGCUCAAUCCGAACCGAGCCGGAUGGCGGCGCGCGUGGGCAUGAGUCAAACAAAACGCACAACAUAUAGCUAGCUUAAAUUAGCUAAACUCCCACAAAUUCUUGAAUCAACCAACACACUUUUGACUAGUGUUAUUCAUUCACCACAAAUUGGUUUUUAGCAUAUCGAUGCAGUUUUCAUAACUACUCGUUGUAUAGAUUAAUAUAAUCCGAAGAUUUAUUUCAAUAAUCAAAUAGACCAAACACAAAUAUUGAUCAAUGUUGUUUAUGACUCAACUUUAACCAAUUUUCUCCGAAGCAAUCAUCUUGGUCUAGAUAGUUGUUCAAAUUGCCUUGGGCUUUCUAGUAACGUUAGAUCCCACUGUUCAUCGGAUCUCUUCAUUAUUUCAUCAUUACGUAACUCUUCCCACCUUUGAGCUGCUAAUUAAUAAGCCAUCUCCAAGCGGUAGCAUUAUCCUCACAAUUUCCGGCAUAUCGGGUCGUCUCUCGGGGUUGUCUUGUGUGCAGAGAAGAGCUAUUUGAAUCAAGUGCUUCACCUCUUCUCCAAUGUAAUAAUAACCUCUAAUAUCAGAAUCUACCAUCCUCUCCCAUUUCUUCUCCUUUAAGUUUGUCUUUACCUAAUCAUAACAAUAUUGGAGAAGCUCUUGGUUAGUUAUUAAGGCGAUGGAACUUACAGCAUACUUUACAGUGGAAUUACUAAUUAGGGUUAAUAGCACUUGACCCCCUUGUGGUUACAAGCUUUUGCAGAUGACCCAUCAACGUGCUCGUAACAUUAGUACAUAACCCCAUUGUGGUUGAUGGUGGUAGCUUCCGUUAGUUUUUCCGUCAAAAUUAACUAGGGGGUGUCAAAUGUCAAAACACUAUAUUUUGCAGAUGACCCCCUUGUGCUUACAUUUUUCAUUUGAUUUUUGCAGAUGACCCCCUUAAAGUUUGACACGCGCGGUUAAGUUUGACGGAAAAACUAACGGACUCUACUUCUAUCAACCGCAAGGGGUUAUCUGUUGAUAUUACGAGCACAAGGGGUCAACUGCAAAAUCUUGUAACCAUGGGGGGUUAAGUGCUAUUUACCUAAUAAUUAUAUGUACAAAUAUAGGCUCUCACCCAAUCAAGUAACAUAAGAUCUUUGUCAUUAGCAAGCCUAGCAAGAGAAAAAAACACUCUGCUCUGUGAUGAGCUCAAGAAGAAACAUACCAUAACCAUAAACAUCAGUUUUCUCCGGAAGAGUACCCUUGGAGCGAUACUCUGGGGCUAUAUUACCACCAAUUGUUCCUCGUACAAUGUGGUCCAUGUGUACCGCAAACGCAAAUUUACAAAUAAUUGCAUCAAAGCCCUCGUUCAUAUAUAUAUUUGCAGCUUUGACAUCACAAUGAAUGAUUUUCCUCUCACAUUCAUCAUGCAAAUAGGCCAGACCCCUUGCAGCCCCCAUUACUAUCCGUUUUCUUACACCAUUGAAAAUAUUAGUAUUUAAUGAUACAUUUCACUAAUAGCUUAAGCUUUCGAUGUGGUCAUUCAACAUGGUAUUAGUGUUUGGCCAAAUAAAUCUCACCACCACCCAUUUCAAAUAUUUUCAAUGCAAGACUUCAUAUGUAAUUCGGCCCCACUUGAUGGGGGCGAAUUGGAGAUAUUAAAUAUUUUAAUGAUACAUUUUAUUAACUAGUUGACUUGUAUGUAUUAAUUUUUUAAGGUAUGCAUUGAUAAUACUUCCCCUCUUGCAGUGUGUCAGUAAUAACGGAAUAUUUUAGACUCCCAUGAACGUUUCUCCAAACACUCCAAUUUUACCUAUUGCACUAGGGGUUUAAUCGUAAUAUUGCUACAUAAUAUAAAAUAUAGUUGAUUUCUGUAAAAAGUACCCAUGUGUGUACUCUUCAAAUAGCGAAAACUUCCAUGUGAUAAAUAAACUAGCAAAAUAAUAAAUUAUUUAUAUAGCACACUCGCCCCAUUAUUCAUUUCAGCAUUGACUUAAUAUAAAAAGACACAAAUACCCCGGAUUUUUGCAUUUAAUAAAUUCUUAUAUUUUAUAAUUAUUUAAUUUUUGUUAUAUCUUAAUUAGAAAAGUACAAUGGGAUCUUUUAAUUCUAUUUUUAUCAUCAAAUAAUUUAUGUAUAUAUUUUAAAUUAUCCCUACAUCAAAAGAAAACUUAAAUUCCAUUAUUAUUUAUUUCUUUAUUUUGUAUUUAAAAAAACUUAUACUUAAUUUGAUUACCAAAUUUUUAAUAAUUUUUUAAUUUAAUUGUUUACUAAAUUUUUCAUAAUAUUUUAAUUUUUAAACAAUCAAUUUAGAAAGAAUAUAUAUAUUAAUACAUUUUGAUGGACAACUUCGUCAUUUCACACCUAAAAAUCACUUACCAGCCGCAUAUCCAGCGAGUGAGCCACACGAAAUUAGCUACUCUCCAGUUUCCACCUAAUCUUGUAUCACUAACGUAGAAAACUUGAGUUAUUUGAUUUGCUAAAAUAUAAGGUUCACUUUCGUACCAACACUUACCCACAUUUAUACUCACAAUGUCACCAUCUAUCUUUACUACUUUAUGUCGAUCCAAAUCGAACCAUUUACAACUAAAUAAUACACAUCGGUAAUCAUAAGCAUAACUCAACUCAAUCACAUCCUCUAAAACUCCAUAAAACUUAAUCAUUUUACCUUUGUGAACUGAAUCUGUAGACACUCCACUAUUUUGAGUUACUCGUCUAGAAUCUCUUAGACUAGUUAGAUACUUAACUCCUUCUACUAUGAACCCACUACAUUUACUAAUAUGAUGAUCAGGGCCUAUUGCAAGUGCAAGAAGUUCAUCCGUAGCUUCUGGGGAUUUUGUACUCCGAAGCUUUUUAAUCUAAUUUAUCAAAUAUAUACAAGAUAACAUGUAUUAAAUUAAAGAACUACAGAUUAAUUGCCAUAAUUGAAAUAUGAAUUUGAGUUCUUACUCGAUUCUCAAACCAUGAAGCGAAUUCUUUUUUAUGUCUAAUCUCCCACCCAAUAGGAUUUUCUUGCUUAAGUUUUUCUUCGUGCUCUCUGAGAAAGAAAAAAAGUAAACAAUAACAGAAUCAAUACAUGUAAAUUUUAUUAUAAUGUUAUACAACAAUAUCUAAUUACCUCUUAUAGAAAUCAAUCUCCGCACAGUUAUUUAGGACAAACCAAUGCAAAACAUUAUAUUGUUCAGUGGUCAUCCGUACAAAAUUUGUUUCUCCAAAGGUUCGAAUUUUACUUCGAAAAACAGAGAUAGUUGCAUUUUGAUUUUCCUCACCAUCAUAAUUUCUUUCCUCUCUAUUAUAUUUUGUCUCAAUUCCAUGAAGAUAUAAUGAGCAAAAACUUAAGCAAUCUUUUACAAUAUAGGCCUCUGCGAUUGAGCCUUCAGGACGAGCUCUAUUUCGAACCAUCCCCUUAAGAUUACUAAGAUACCUGUUAAAAAUAUAUAAAUGAAAGACAUAUAAAUUAAAAUACUAAAGACACCAAGUUAACUUUAACGAAGUUGGACAAAUAAUAAAUAAAAUAAUGAAUUACCUUUCGAUAGGAUACAUCCAUCAAUAUUGAUCCGAUCCUCCAAUCUUUGCUUCUUGUGCCAAAUGAACUGCUAAGUGGACCAUAACAUCAAAACAUGCAGGUGGAAAUAUCAUUUAUCACUUUCAUAAUAUCACAGGAAUCCUCUUCUCCAAAUUGUCAAGGACAUUAACAUUUAGUUUCCGGGAACACAAUUGUCUGAAAAAACUUGCCAACUCCGUGAUAGCAUCCAGAACAUCCUUAUGCAGGUAACCACGUAGUCCUACUGGAAGCAAUCGUUGUAAUAGAACAUGACAAUCAUGACUUUUCAACCCGAUUAUCUUACCAUCCUUGAUAUUCACACAUCUAGAUAUAUUUGCAGCAUAUCCAUCUGGAAACUUCACCGCUUUCAAGAAUUCACAAAAGCCUUUUCUUUCCUUUUGGGAUAGAGUAUAAAGUGCACGCGGCUUUAAACACUUCAAUUUACCUUCUUUAUUUGUUUUGGUACCUUUCAAAAAUUGUAAGUGUAACUUCCUCCUUAUACACAUAUCCUCCAAAUCCAAACGAGCUUUUUCAGUAUCCUUUGUUUACCAUCAAUGUCUAGUAUAGUUCCCAUUACACUGUCACAUAUAUUCUUCUCAAUAUGCAUUACGUCAAGAUUAUGCCGUAAUUUUAGUUUUAACCAAUAUGGCAACUCAAAUAAUAUACUCUUCUUUGUCCAACAUGGGUGUUCAGAAAAACUCUUUCGUUUUCGAUCAGUGGAAUGCUUGCCAAGCACUAUUAGAGUAGGUGACCAACAAGCCAACCUGUGGCUGUGGUCUUUCGUAUUUAUUAUUGUAAUAAACGAACCUUUAUUCGUAUUAAUGAUAAAACACCUUGGCAUUCUAUAUCUUUGUCCCUUUGUCACAAGCAUAGAUAUAGUCCUUACAGUUAUUACAAGUACUAGUAAUUGAUCGUUAGGAUCGUGAGAUAUUUACUUAAGUAUUAUAACUGUUAAACGUGUUCCUAGUCGAAGGGUUACGCCACCAAUGAGGAUAUCGGCCUUUCCCAUUAGAAGACUAGCACUUAGUGUAUGUGUACUGCAUCUCAUCAGUAAACGGUAUUGUGAUAUCGGCAUGCAUAAGUGGGUGCUCGUAAGUUGACGAGUUCACUGAACUCCCUCACCCUAGAAAUCUCUAAGUGGUUCCCAUAAUCGAGUAGAGAUAUCUAUGGUAUAGUUGUACACCAUUAGUCCUUAUGACCUAGACAUCACCGUGACUUCACUAGAGGACCAGCUGUAUCGUGACCUGUCCUUGAGUUCCACCGAGGACCAUCCCAAGGGCCAGUGUUCGUGCAGUCCGAAAUCUAGUGGGAGGUCUGUGCAUUGUAGUCGGGGAUUCGAUCGCUAGAAUAGUCUUGGAUGUCCUGUGUGUUCUGAAAGUUUGUAAUCAUUCUAAGUCUCUGGCCAGAGCUGACUAAGUGAUGAUUAGAGAAUUCGAUUCUCUAGGUCAUGCACGUAAGGAUUACAACACUUAGAACGAUCGCACCGUCAUCGAACAUAUAAAGAGGUCUCGAUGAACCAAUGCCUCUAGUUCGAUCGGGACAUAUGAAUCGAAGGGACCGUACUGUACGUUAACUAUAUCUGAAGGUUCUUGCAGGCACUUCAUUUGUAUCUAGGGAAUCAUGACGCGUAGUUGCUAGACGCCAAUCUUGAUUCGUUGGGUGAUUAAGGUGAAACGAGCUUCAUCUUAAUCGUAACUCGAAGGGGACGAGUUUUGACCACAAAGGGUUGUGGGCCCACGGCUAGCUUACACCUGAACCAUCGAGGGUCACACUGCUCGUGCACAUGAGAUCUUUGAAUAAACGGUCAGAGAUAAAAUAGUUUAUCUUUGCAUGUUUGGAAGUCAAUAUGAUUGAGUCCAACAUUCGUAAUUUGGAAUUAUGAAUGAGAAUAAGAAAAGGAAAAGAAUAGGCGAACGUGUUAGUGAACUUUCUAAAUCGGGAAGUUUCCAAAUUUAGAAAGUGCACUGAACUAGGGUUUCCACUUUUGGAAAGUUGGAAAAUGAAAGAUGGCACUCGUAAUGACGAGGGAAUUAUAAUGAUUCCGAAAAUGUAAUCGUUGCAAUUUUUCGGUCAUUGAAUUAAGAGAGACGAGCAAGAGAAAGUACUAACGGACUUAAGCUGUUGGGCCCGGUCCAACUUAAGCCCGCUAGGGUUUUAUGCAAGGGACUAUAAAUACAUGAUUUAUAGACCUUGCACAAAACAUAUCAAACCCUAACCCUAAGCGGCCGACCCGUCUCUCUCUCGGCCUCUCUUUCCGCGGCCACCACCGCGCCGCCGUCGCCCCCCCGUCGCCGGAAUCGGCCGUCUAUCGGCCGUUCUUUUUCGGUAUUGUUUUUCCUUCUCUUUUCUUCCGUUUUAUUCUAACUACUUCGUGUCUAGUGCCACGUUGUAGUAGAUCGAAGUAUACGAGGUGAAAUCCGAGAGGAGGAAGACUGUAGAUCGAAGAAUCGAGGAGCAACGCACGAGCCGAAGCCACACGCUGCCCCACGCGCCGCCCGGAAGUUCGCGCGUGAAACUCACGCGCCGCCGUGACCUCACGCGCCGCUGCUGCCGCUGCACCGCUGCUGCCCCGAUUGUACGGAUUGGUUUCCGUAGCAAUCUCGACGUGCUAAACGCUCCUACCUCACGCUUCAAGAGGUAAAUACGCGAAACCCUAGUUUCGAUUUGAGUUUCGUUUAAACCUAUGAAUUCAUGUUUGUUUCGUAUGAUUUUAUAUGAUUAUGUGUAAUCGAUUUAAAUCAUUGUGAGCAUGUUACUUGGUUUAAACGCGAGCAUGUUAAUUGUUUUAAAUUCGAAUAAAUAAUUAGCAUGUAUGUUGUUGUUUAAUUUCGCUGGAAGCGCAAAGGUACGUAAUUAAUUGAUUUAAUUUAUCGGGCAUGUGUUUAUGUGAUUUAAACUCGUUUAAUUCGCAUAAAAUUUUUGUUUUCCGCUGCGUAUGCGUGCCCGAAACCCAACAGUGGUAUCAGAGCUCGUUGCGCAAUUAAUUGCGUUCGUUUUAAUAUGCAUGUUCGAUUUAUUAAAGUAGUGAUAGUCGUAUUAUGUAAUUGGGAGUUUUUGUAAGUUUAAAAUAUUUUUGAAAUAUUGUUUAGAAUUUUUCCAGCUUUAAAAUUGUUUAAAAUUGGAAAAUCGGAUCUGAAAUUGUUUUAAAACAUCGGUUUUUUAAUUGUUCGGAUCGAACCGGUCGAACCGGCCGGUUCGAUGGUUGUGCACGAUUUAGUUGACCGAAUCCACGUGGAUUCGGGUCGGUCAGACCGGUUCCCGGUCCGACUGACCCGGCCCACUGAUUUGGGUCAGCUGGACCGGGCAGAACCGGACCGCUUCGGUCCGAACCGGUCAGACCGGUCGGCCAAAAAAAAAAAAAAAAAAAAAAAAAAAAAAAAAUUAUUUCAGAUUUCUAAAAUUAAACUUAAAACAAAUUGAUUUUAAUUUUUGGAAAAUUAUUUUCAAUUAAUCCCAAUUAGAUAAUUGGAUCGACAAUCAUCUAUUUUAGUAAAUAGGUGUUAGAUUAAUUAAAUUGAUUUAAAUUGUUAAAUUGAUUUCAAUUAAUAGAACACAUAUAUAAUAUUGAUUAUAAGUUCAACUUAAUUAGUAGUACCUCAACAUUAUUUGAAUGAUUUAUGCUAGUUGAGGUUCUAUAAUUAUUUUGAAAACUCGAUAAUUAAUUAAUGUAAUUAAUUAUGAAAUUAGGUCGUAUGUUCCUCUUAGGACAAUAUGCGCUUCCAUAUACCUUUAGAGAACAUAGAUGUAGGAAUCACAUAGACCAAUCCAAAACCUUCUGAUGAGAUAAAACUUUUAAUAAAAUCCCUCAUUCUUAAUUUAAUUAAGAAUCAUUUCAAGCUAUAAAGAAAAACCCAAUCUGUUGAGUUAUUUAUUUCCUUCUGCCAACGGUUGGAUUAUGUGUAGCCCUUUGCUGUAGUGCAGUAAGCCGUGUUAGCGGGGAGUGCUAUGGUAGAGUAAGCUGUAAUUCAAUUGACAUAUUGAUGAAGGUAGCCAUAGAAAAGGGUUAUGUUGGAUUAACGUGGUCGGCUAGAUUAACUAGGGACUGCAUUAGUUUGGCAUAAUCAAGUUCUAUGAGCAUCUUUGAUUGGUAGGUUAGACUUGACACACGACGAUUUUGAUAUUUGCGAGAUUAACUUAGGUCAUUAUCAAGUGUGAGGAAAAUUCAUUUAGGGUCAUAUUGUGGAUAUGAUUGAUUGUGAUCUACCUUUGGGCAAAUAUAAUCGGGCUAGAUUAACUACGGGUUAUAUUUGUCUAUUGGACCUAAAGCCCAUUAAGAAAAAUCAGUUUUCUCGUUUGUCUACUAGAAGGAAGUGGAACUCGAUAAAAUUAGUGGGAGAACAAUUAAAUAACACAAGUCCAAACAUUUAAUUGUAACAAUCAUUUAACGCGAAUCUCUAAUAAUCCUCUUCCCUAUACCUCUCAGAUAAUCAUGUCUAAGAAUCCCAUAAUGUCAAUCCUCGACAAUAAACUCAAUGGCCCUAAUUACCUGGAUUGGUUGCGUAGUCUUAAGCUUGUGCUAACCGUUGAGGGGCGUCUCUAUGUUUUGAACGAGAGACUUCCCGCCACUAUACCUGCCACAGCGACUGAUGCUGAAAAGGAAACUUAUGAAGUUUGGAAGAAAGAUGACACCCAUGCUAGGUGCUAUAUGAUAGCCGCCAUGGAGCCCGCGCUUGCGAGGAAAUAUGAGUCUCACUUGCAUGCUUUCGAUAUAAAGGCUCAUCUCGAUAGCAUGUACAGUGAGAAUAUUAGGGCAUCGAGGUACGCUGUUACAAAGGAGUUGAUCACAGCGAGACUGCGCGAAGGGACUUCGGUCCACGAGCACUGUCUCAAAAUGAUCACUCUCCUUGAAAAGCUAGUGAAUCUUGAUGUCACCCUCCCGGCCGAGCUCUCGUUGGAUUUGAUCCUGUUGUCUCUUCCUAGUUCCUAUGAAUCGUUCAUAGUGAACUUCAACAUGAACAAACUAGAUCCUCCCUUGGAUGAGUUAAUGAACAUGUUGGUCAGCUUCGAGUCCACCAUUAAGAAAGAGAAGUCUGUUCUCAUUGCUGCUACUUCUGGAAAGAAGAGUUCUUUCCAAAAGAAGAGAAAGGAAAGAGUUCCCUUCCCUAACAGCAAGUUCGAAGUGGGUGAAGGUAGUGGGGGCCCCAAGGCAAAGGUUAGCAAACAAGUUGAUGAUGCUUGCCAUCACUGUGGAAAGAAAGGACAUUGGCGCCGCAACUGCAAGGCUUACCUGAAGCAGAAAGGUUCUGAAAAGGGUACGUAUUUCAUUGACGUAAAUUUGUCUGUCAACUCUUCUUCUUGGGUAUUGGAUACGGGCUGUGGCUCACAUUUGUGCAAUGAUUUGCAGCUAAUGACAAGAAGUCGAAGACUUAGAGCGGGUGAGACCUACCUAAGGAUGGGGAAUGGAGCAAGAGUUGUUGCUGAAGCCAUUGGCACAAUUUACUUAAAUGUUUUGGAUUCUAGUUUUCCUAUUGUUUUGAACGAUUGUUUAUUUGUUCCGUCGCUCAUUAGAAACCUUAUUUCUAUUCCUGUAUUAGAUAUUGAAGGUUUUACUUUUGUUUUUGGAAAUUCGAUUUGCAUUAUACAAAAGAAUGAGAAUUUAAUUUGCAAAGGACGACUAUUAAACAACUUGUAUGAACUAAAUCCAAGUGAAAUACCUAUUAAUGUUAUAUCAGCAAAACGUAAGGAGAUAGAUCAAAACCCCGCACAACUUUGGCACGCUAGAUUAGGUCAUGUCUCUUUAAGAAGGAUGAACGAUUUUGUCAGUGAAGGAUUGUUCUCUGUGGAGGACGUGAAAUCACUACAAACUUGUGAAUCUUGCCUUAAAGGGAAAAUGACCAAGUCACCCUACAAAGGGAAAAUGGAACGAGCCGAGGGUCUUUUGGAUUUGAUCCAUACAGACGUAUGUGGUCCACUAUGUGUUAGUGCGAAGGGUGGAUAUAACUACUUCGCCACCUUUACCGACGAUUAUUCUAGGUAUGGGUAUGUGUACUUGAUGAAGUACAAGUCUGAAACAUUUGAAAGGUUCAAAGAUUUUAGACAUGAAGUAGAAAAGCAACUCGGACGAAGUAUUAAGAAGCUACGAUCCGAUCGUGGUGGAGAAUACUUGAGCAUCGAGUUCAUUGACUAUCUAAAAGAAAACGGGAUACAGUCCCAAUGGACUCCACCGGGAACUCCUCAACUUAAUGGAGUAUCCGAACGUCGGAAUCGAACUUUAUUAGAUAUGGUUCGAUCAAUGAUGGGGUUCACAAACUUACCGGCAUACUUAUGGGGUCAUGCACUUCGUACUGCCGCAUAUUUGCUGAAUAGAGUUAACACCAAAGCAGUUAAAUCCACACCUUAUGAACUUUGGCAUUCCCGGAAACCCAAUUACAAACAUAUUAGGAUAUGGGGUUGUCCCGCUUAUGUGAAGCGAUUAAUGGGAGAUAAGUUAGAUAGUAAAUCCGACUUGUGCUAUUUUGUGGGGUAUCCCGAAGACUCAAUGGGAUACGAGUUUUAUUAUGUCAAAGAAGCAAAGACGUUUGUUUCGAGAAAUGCCACCUUUUUGGAAAGGGAGUUUCUAUCCGAUAGAAAGGGCAGCAUGAUAGAACUUGAAGUAGUUCAAGAACCACAAAGUGAAGUUCAAACGCAAGAACAAGCAAUCGAACCAAUACAACAAACCACUAAUAUACCUCCUGAACCUACGGUACGUAGAUCCGAAAGAGUUCGGAAAAUGCCGGAUAGGUUAUUCCUCCUCGAAAAUGAUGAAGAUCAUGUUGAUCUUGGACGAGAUCCAAGAACAUACAAUGAGGCCGUAUCGGAUGCGGACAUGGGACAUUGGCUAACUGCCAUGAAAUCCGAAAUGGACUCCAUGUACUCCAACAAGGUAUGGACCUUGGUAGAUCCACCCAAAGGAAUUGUUCCUAUAGGCUGCAAGUGGAUCUAUAAGAAGAAAAUUGGAGUUGAUGGAAAGGUAUCGACCUAUAAAGCUAGAUUGGUAGCAAAAGGAUACACUCAAAGGCAAGGUGUUGACUAUGAGGAAACCUUUUCGCCAGUCGCGAUGCUGAAGUCCAUUAGGAUUUUGCUGGCCAUAGCUGCGUGGUACGACUACGAGAUAUGGCAAAUGGAUGUGAAGACCGCCUUCCUUAAUGGAGAUAUUGAGGAAGAAAUUUACAUGGCGCAGCCGGAAGGCUUCAUAUCUUCUGGAAGUGAGCAAAAGGUUUGCAAGCUCCAGCGAUCCAUUUAUGGAUUGAAGCAAGCAUCCCGUAGUUGGAACAUUAGGUUCGACUCAACUAUCAAAGAGUUUGAUUUUGAGAAGAAUCCGGAGGAACCUUGUGUAUACAAGAAGGUUAGUGGGAGGGCAGUAAUAUUUUUAGUGCUUUACGUUGAUGACAUUCUACUCAUUGGGAAUGACGUAGGAAUGUUGCAACAAACGAAAGCAUGGUUGUCCACACGUUUCUCAAUGAAGGAUUUGGGAGAAGCAUCUUAUGUAUUAGGAAUACGCAUCUAUAGAGAUAGAGCAAGAAAGAUGCUUGGCUUAUCCCAAAGCCUGUACAUAGACACCGUUACGAAACGGUUUAGCAUGGAAGAAUCCAAGAAGGGAUUCUUGCCAAUGUCCCAUGGGGUUCGUCUCUCGAAAUCUAUGUGUCCCCAAACACCUAGUGAAAUCGAGGAGAUGAAAAGGACGCCCUAUGCUUCUGCCAUAGGAAGCAUAAUGUAUGGCAUGCUAUGUACGAGACCCGAUAUUGCGUAUGCUGUGAGUGUCACAAGCAGAUAUCAGUCUAACCCCGGCCCGGCUCACUGGAAAGCCGUGAAAGAUAUCCUCAAGUACUUGCGAAGAACUAAGGAUAUAUUUUUGGUCUAUGGGGGUGCCGAGUUGAAAUUAGAGGGUUUUCUCGACUCUAGUUUUCAAUCGGACGUGGACGACUCAAAGUCGAAUUCUGGAUUUAUUCACGCUGAAUGGUGGUGCCGUGUGUUGGAAGAGUUCCAAGCAAAGCACGACGGCCGAUUCCACUACCGAAGCGGAAUACAUUGCAGCGUCUGAAGCUGCAAAAGAAGGGACUUGGAUAAGGAAAUUCAUCCAAGAGUUGGGUGUCAUUCCUGAUGCUAGUGAUCCAGUACCGUUGUACUGUGAUAACACCGGAGCCGUGGCGCAAGCUAAGGAGCCACGAUCUCAUCAGAAGUCGAAGCAUAUUCUGAGGAAGUAUCACGUGAUCCGAGAGAUCAUUGAUAGAGGUGAAGUUAAGGUUGAACGAGUCACCUCGGAAGAGAACGUUGCAGACCCCUUCACGAAGCCUUUACCGAGAUCGGUCCAUGAGAAACAUCGAGAGUCGAUGGGAUUGCGAUUUAUGGGUAGUUGGCUUUAGGUCAAGUGGGAGAUUGUUAGAGUAGGUGACCAACAAGCCAACCUGUGGCUGUGGUCUUUCGUAUUUAUUAUUGUAAUAAACGAACCUUUAUUCGUAUUAAUGAUAAAACACCUUGGCAUUCUAUAUCUUUGUCCCUUUGUCACAAGCAUAGAUAUAGUCCUUACAGUUAUUACAAGUACUAGUAAUUGAUCGUUAGGAUCGUGAGAUAUUUACUUAAGUAUUAUAACUGUUAAACGUGUUCCUAGUCGAAGGGUUACGCCACCAAUGAGGAUAUCGGCCUUUCCCAUUAGAAGACUAGCACUUAGUGUAUGUGUACUGCAUCUCAUCAGUAAACGGUAUUGUGAUAUCGGCAUGCAUAAGUGGGUGCUCGUAAGUUGACGAGUUCACUGAACUCCCUCACCCUAGAAAUCUCUAAGUGGUUCCCAUAAUCGAGUAGAUAUAUCUAUGGUAUAGUUAUACACCAUUAGUCCUUAUGACCUAGACAUCACCGUGACUUCACUAGAGGACCAGCUGUAUCGUGACCUGUCCCUGAGUUCCACCGAGGACCAUCCCAAGGGCCAGUGUUCGUGCAGUCCGAAAUCUAGUGGGAGGUCUGUGCAUUGUAGUCGGGGAUUCGAUCGCUAGAAUAGUCUUGGAUGUCCUGUGUGUUCUGAAAGUUUGUAAUCAUUCUAAGUCUCUGGCCAGAGCUGACUAAGUGAUGAUUAGAGAAUUCGAUUCUCUAGGUCAUGCACGUAAGGAUUACAACACUUAGAACGAUCGCACCGUCAUCGAACAUAUAAAGAGGUCUCGAUGAACCAAUGCCUCUAGUUCGAUCGGGACAUAUGAAUCGAAGGGACCGUACUGUACGUUAACUAUAUCUGAAGGUUCUUGCAGGCACUUCAUUUGUAUCUAGGGAAUCAUGACGCGUAGUUGCUAGACGCCAAUCUUGAUUCGUUGGGUGAUUAAGGUGAAACGAGCUUCAUCUUAAUCGUAACUCGAAGGGGACGAGUUUUGACCACAAAGGGUUGUGGGCCCACGGCUAGCUUACACCUGAACCAUCGAGGGUCACACUGCUCGUGCACAUGAGAUCUUUGAAUAAACGGUCAGAGAUAAAAUAGUUUAUCUUUGCAUGUUUGGAAGUCAAUAUGAUUGAGUCCAACAUUCGUAAUUUGGAAUUAUGAAUGAGAAUAAGAAAAGGAAAAGAAUAGGCGAACGUGUUAGUGAACUUUCUAAAUCGGGAAGUUUCCAAAUUUAGAAAGUGCACUGAACUAGGGUUUCCACUUUUGGAAAGUUGGAAAAUGAAAGAUGGCACUCGUAAUGACGAGGGAAUUAUAAUGAUUCCGAAAAUGUAAUCGUUGCAAUUUUUCGGUCAUUGAAUUAAGAGAGACGAGCAAGAGAAAGUACUAACGGACUUAAGCUGUUGGGCCCGGUCCAACUUAAGCCCGCUAGGGUUUUAUGCAAGGGACUAUAAAUACAUGAUUUAUAGACCUUGCACAAAACAUAUCAAACCCUAACCCUAAGCGGCCGACCCCUCUCUCUCUCGGGAUGUUUAAACAUAUUGUAUCUUUUUCUAAAGAUUAUUCUACAAUUAUUAAUUAUUGAUUUCACUUGGGGCGAUAAUACCAUUAUUUGUGUUAUUUUAGCUACAGUAAUUUUCCACUCUAAUUUUUCGACUUCGAAUGUUGUAAUUCUAGGUAAAUGGAAGAGCCUAUAGUGCAACCUACGCCUAAUGCGUUAGAUGGUAAAUUAGAAUUAAUGUUGGAGGCAUUAUUGGCUAAAAUUAAUGUCUUUUUUUCGUUUUGUGUUUAUUUCACUUUUUAUCAUAUGCUAUAAAAAAAAUAUUUCUUUGUAGAGUCAAUAGCAGAUGUGGUUGAUAACACAUUUGAUGCCACCAAUGGUAAUGUUUAAACAUAUUAUAUCUUUCUUAAGCUUAUUCUAAAAUUAUUAAUUAUCGAUUUCACUUCUCCUACAUUUUUUUACAUGAUUAGUGACUGAGAAACGAGGUCGCGGUCUUACUCGAGGGUUAAAUACACAAAAGUAUGUACGCAAAUGUGGAGAGAAGCCGAAAAUUGUGAUUCCGAAAGGAGUCAACAAACCUACUGGGGAGCACAGCUCGAAGCACGCAACUCAAAUUGGGGUAUUGAUUAGGCUUGACACUCCAAUGCAAGUAGCGGGUUGGGCAAAAAUUCUAGAUGAGGAAAAAGAAGAUCUUUUCAGAAAGUUGGUUGUAAUCUUCGGUUUUCUCAUAUUUUAUUUUCUCAGUUUAUAAAUUCUAAAUUUUUUCUUAUAUAUUUGUGUUUGUAUGAGGGAAAUUACUGUCAAUAACUUUAAGAACCUUUCAGUGCAUCAAGUAUUUCUUUGAAGGUGAUUGUUAAUUUUUAUUUCAUAAGUGAAUAUUAAAUUAGAAAUUGCUUACUUUGAUAUGUGUAAUUAUUGAUGUGUAAGGUUUAUUUUAGUAGGCUUAUAAUGGAUAAAAGUUGGACGCAUAAAUCAAGAUCAACAAUUGAAUAUAUAAAUGGGUUAAAUCAAUUCCUUGAUAUGGCAUUUGCUAAUGUAUCUCUCGGAGGAAAGAUCAUAUGUCCAUGCAAAUAUUGUAAGAAUGCUAAAUGGGUUGAUCGAGAAACGACAAAAGAAGGUCUUCUUGUUGAUGGAUUUAUGAAAGGUUAUACACAUUGGGUUUUACAUGGAGAAGAUACAUCAUCUAGUCAAGCUACUUUUGAAAAUCUAGAUCCUAUCAAUACGUUAAAUGAUAUGGAUGGUUUGAUACAUGAUGCUUUUGGGGUCAAAGAUUCAGAUACAUGUAUGGAUGAAGAACCUAAUGAAUCAGCUAAGAUUUUUUACAAGUUAUUACUUGAUGCUCAACAAGAAUUAUACCUAGGAUUUAAGAAGUUUUCGAAAUUAGCAUUUAUAAUACGACUAUUUCACUUGACAUGCAUGGAUAAAUGAUCUAAUAAAACAUUUACAAUGCUUCUCGAGUUGCUAAAAGAGGUUUUUCCUACUCUGGCCGAGUCAUUGCCUAAGUCUUACUAUGACAUACAAAAGAUCAUUGGGGCAUUGGGACGCACGUCUACCAAAAUUGAUGCUUGUCCGAAUGAUUGUAUCUUGUAUUGGAAAGAGCAUGAGAAAAGCACAUCAUGUCAUAUCUGCAAUAUAUUAAAAUAUAAAAAAACUUGAAAAUAAUGCAGUUGCGGAUGACGAUUCUUCUGUUAAGCAUAAAAAAAUUCCGGCUAAGGUAUUUGAGGCAUUUUCCUCUUAAACCUAGACUUCAAAGAAUUUUCAUGUCAUCUAAGACAUCAACAUUCAUGAGAUGGCACAAGGAAGAAUUCACAAAUGAUGAAUGCAUGAGACACCCCAGUGAUUCUCUUGUUUGGCAUUCUUUUGAUCGUCAAUAUCAUGAAUUUGCAAAAGAUCUAAGAAAUGUAAGACUUGGUUUAACUACUGAUGGAUUUAGUCCAUUUAGAACUUUAAGCGUUACUCACAGUACAUGGCCACUCAUCGUCACCUCAUAUAAUAUACCUCCAUGGAUGUGUACGAAAGAGCCAUUUUCCUUUUUAACUUUAUUCAUACCAGGUCCAUCACCGUCUGGAAACAACAUUGAUGUGUAUUUACAGCCUUAAGUAGAAGAAUUAAAGGAAUUAUGGGACGGGGUUGAAACAUAUGAUGCUUCAAGCAAGCAAAACUUUAAUAUGCGUGUAGCUUUGUUGUGGACUAUUAAUGAUUUUCCUGCAUAUGCAAACUUAUCUGGUUGGAGUACAAAAGGUGAACUAUCUUGCCCAUUGUGCCAUAAAGAUCCAUGGUCUAAAUACUAAUACAAAAGCCGAAAACAGUGUUACAUGGGUCAUCGUAGAUUUCUUGAUGAUAAUCACCCUUACAGGAAAGAUGCCAACUCUUUUGAUGGCACAGAAGAAUAUGGUCAGCCACCUAUUCCUUUAAAUGGAGAUAAGGUAAUGGAAGACUUAGGCGAGUUAAAUGUGAAAUUCGGCAAAAAAGUUUCCAAUAAUCCAACCGUUCCUUAUAAAUGGAAAAAAAAAGAAGUAUAUUCUUUGAGUUCCCAUAUUGGAAAGAUAUCACAUUGCGUCACAACUUGGAUGUAUUGCACAUUGAAAAAAAUGUUUGUGAUAGUGUCAUCGGGACUUUAUUGAAUUUGGAAGGAAAGACAAAAGAUCAUGAAAACUCUCGUCUUGAUCUAGAAGAUAUGGGUAUAAGACAUGCACUUCACCCUAGUAUUCUUUAUUCCAGAAGAAAUUACUUGCCUACUGCAUGUUUUUCAAUGAGCAAAAAAGAAAAAAUAUAUUUUUUUGACAUCUUACAUAAUGUUAAAGUUCCGGAUGGAUAUGCUUCUAAUAUUUCAAAAUGUGUGCAAAUGAAGCCACAAAAACUUUCAGGUCUAAAAAGUCAUGAUAACCACAUCUUGAUACAACAAUUGCUUCCAAUUGGUUUGCGUAAAGUAUUACCAAAGCAUGUACGAACACCUCUGAAUAAUUUGUGCACUUUUUUCAGAGAACUUUGCUCUAAAGUUCUUAUUCCUCGAAAUUUAGUUCGUUUGAAGGAAGAAAUUUCUAAGACUCUUUGUGAUUUGGAGAAAAUAUUCCCUCCAUCUUUUUUUGAUGUGAUGAUUCAUUUAACCAUUCAUUUGGCAUAUGAGGCUCGACUUGGCAGGCCAGUGCAAUAUCGUUGGAUGUCUUCUAUUGAAAGGUAAUUUAAUUUAUGUUUUCUUUUAAUUUGUUUAACUUUAUAAAAAUAAAAUGUGAGUAAACUCAUUUGUUGAAAUAUUAGGUAUUUAUCAACAUUGAAAUCUUACGUGCGCAAUUGAAGUCGUCCCGAAGGGUCAAUUGCCGAAGCAUAUUUGAUGGAAGAAUGCUUAAACUUUUGUUUUAGAUACCUAGAGGAUGUGGAGACUAAAUUUAAUAAGAUAAAAAGAAAUUAUGAUAUUUGUGGUGAGAGCACAGUAGACUUCUACAUCUUCUCUAAUCCUGUACAUUAUAUUGGCGCAAGAAAUUGUGUAGUUCUUGGUGUGGAAAUAGUUACUAAGGCACAUCAAUACACCAUGUUCAAUUGCAAUGAAAUUGAAUCAUACAUUGAGUAAGUUUUUUUCACUUAAGUUUUUCUUAUACCCUUUUUUCUUUUAUUAUGUAUUCAUAUUGCUCAUAUUUUUCAAAAGAGAACACAAAGGUAUAGUAAAAAGUUCUAAUCCUCGAACUCGAAAAAAAGAUAUUGAAAGGAUUCACAUUGAAACAAGUUCUAAAUUUCUAACAUGUGGGAGAUUGUUGGAAUUAUUUCAAUAAUUAUGUGGGCUCACAUAUGUGACGUAAAUGUUUAUGGCUAUCUAAAAGAAAGUCCAAAUUAAUUGUGAUCUAAUAAAGAUUUUUGGGUUGAACUUAUGGGUAUUAGACUAUAAUUAAGGGUCCAAUGUGUAGAGACAAUUAGGGUUUUAUUGUGAUUUAUUGAUGGGGAUGAAUCACAGUUAUAAUAUAACUGGACUCUGCGGUUAUAUAAAUGGUCAUAGUCCCCAAAGAAAUGCAAUCAUUCCGUUUCUUCUAAAAUCCAUCGUUAGAGAGAUACUUAACGAGCUGUAGAUUCUUUGGAAGACAUGUCCCAAAUCCAGUGCAGAUUCGAAGAUUCGAUUCAACGAUGUAAGGCACGCUUCCGUGUUUAUGUUUCUGUAUUAUUCUCGUUGAUUCAACCAUGUUGGUUCCUGGGAAUUCGUAUGUAUGUACGAUAAAUUUCUAACAAAGAAUAAGUAAUCUAAUCAAACCCAAUUGCAUUUCUACAUAUGUGACGUAAAUGUGUAUGGCUAUCUAAAAGAAAGUCCAAAUUAAUUGUGAUCUAAUAAAGAUUUUUGGGUUGAACUUAUGGGUAUUAGACUAUAAUUAAGGGUCUAAUGUGUACAGACAAUUAGGGCUUAAUUGUGAUUUAUUGAUGGGGCUGAAUCACAGUUAUAAUAUAACUCGACUCUGCAGUUAUAUAAAUGGUCAUAGUCCCCAAAGAAAUGCAAUCAUUCCGUUUCUUCUAAAAUCCAUCGUUAGAGAGAUACUUAAGGAACUGCGGAUUCUUUGGAAGACAUGUCACAAAUCCAGUGGAGAUUCGAAGAUUCGAUUCAAUGAUGUAAGGCACGCUUCCGUGUUUAUGUUUCUGUAUUAUUCUCGUUGAUUGAACCAUGUUGGUUCCUCGAAAUUCGUAUGUAUGUACGAUAAAUUUCUAACAAAGAAUAAAUAAUCUAAUCAAACCCAAUUGUUUUAUUGAACAUUUGAAGGCCCAACAUAAAACAUGCUUAAAAGGCAAGAUAAGCCAUGAUAAUUGUUGGACAAAAUUGGCAAGAAUUGUCCAUCUUUUCUUCUAAAUUGUAGUUUUGACCCCCAAUUUAUUCAAUUCUUCAAUUUGUGCUUGAAACACAAUAAAUCAAAACUUUAAAAACCAAAUAUCAAUAAAAUAUACUAAAAACUCCAAUUAAAAGAUAUGCUUAUGUUAAAAAAUACACACUUAACACACCCCAAAACUUGAACUUUUGCUAGACCUCGAGCAAAAAGUAAUCGCAAGCAAAUAACUCAACUACUGCAUCUCAUCACAUAGAUUAAUGACCAUCUUCACGUUUUCAGAACUUGUAAUUGUAAUUAAAAUUCUUAAACAUUCGCAAGCUCGUAUUUCAAAAGAACUCAGUCACUUACCAUUGCCAAAAACCACAAAUCAUGUAAUUGCUUCAAGCAUCCAAUAUUUGUAAAUUAAGAAUAGAAACAAUUUAUACUUACAUACAUAUGUUUGACUCCAAAUACUAACCAAAUUCUUCUACUCUACUAAUACCGAAUAUUAAGCUAUUGGGAUCAUUGGGGCUUUUUGACUUUCAAUUGUUAGGCUCUUUGGUUCGAAGUAGGAAAUAUGGGCGUAAGUGGCUAUACUUCUUGAAUGGAAGUGAUUACGCCAAAAUUUGAAACACAGUCGUUUGAAACAAUGAAUUCAUCUCUACGGACUUUAAUAAACUCGAUUCUCAAGAUUACAAAAGUUGAUUACUUUUGCUCUUAAGACAAUGGAUCGAGCUUUCAAAAAAAAUUCAACAACUAGUCGUUUUCUCCCUUCUAGUCUCUUCUUCUUCUUUUCUUCUUUUUAUUUUUAUUUUAUUUUAUUUUUUAUUUUAUUUUAAUUUAUUUUUUUCUUAUUUUUAUUUUUUCAUUUUUAAAAAUUUAUUUUUUGAAGAGGAAGAAGAAGGACAUUUUUUUCUUUUCUUUUUUAAACCAAACACCAUGGGUUAAAUUCUUUUCAAGAAUUUCCACCUAGCUAUUCUACCUUAUCAAGUAUUGGCUAAAAGAAAGAACACCGUUUCUCCAAUGCUCAUAUCAAGGUUCUACGGAUAAUUUCGAUAACAGGUCUGCUUGAAAGGCUCAAACGGUUCAAAGAAGGCUCAAAUCAUAUCCCAAAUUACUCACUAAUCAAUACGUCGUAUCGUAAAUUUCCUAAGGUGAGUUCUAAAACCGAACAUAGCAUGAUCUAACAUAAAUUAAUUCCAAAUUUAAAAUACAAAAGGUUCAACAAAAGGAAUGAACAAAGUGUAUUUCCUAGCAAUAAUUUGCUUAUAAGUUCCGUUGAAUCGAAAGCUAAACAAACAUCUAAUCCUUAUCACAACAAAACAAGCAAUAUCAUCAUCGAACAUUGGUCAUCUCUCAUCAUCAUAACUCACCGAUGCAUCCGACUGAAGCAAAUGUUUUUUCUAUUUAAACGACAAAAGCAAUAAAAAUAGAAAAGUAAAAUAAAUAAAACCUAAUGCAUGCAAGCUAAACGCAAAUAAGCACAAAUACAUGUUUUUCCACCCCCAAACUUAAAAUUUCCGUUGCCCUCAACGAAAUUAGAACAAAGUUCAAGGAUAGAAAACUCUUGAUUUAGUCGUAAUCGACGUCAUCGGGGUGAGAAUUUAUGCGGGAAAAUUCUAAUUUUCCUUCUUUGAAGACGCCCAAUCUGCGUCUCGGACGGCCGUCCCGAAAUUUGAACUAAUUUUCGGACGGCCGUCUCAAAAGAUGUAGAAAUGUGCACUAGGUGUCGGACGGUCGUCUCAAAAGAUGUAGUGUGGAUUUUAACUUUGAGAUUUCGGACGGCCGUCCCAAAAUUUGAACUAAAACUUGGACGGCCAUCUGAAAUUGCGUAAGUUGGAUUUUAGCGUCAGGAUUUCGGACGGCCGUCUAUGAUUUUGAACUAAUACUCGGACGGCCGUCUGAAGUUGCAUAAGUUUGGUUCUGACCCUCUUGAACUCGUACGGUCGUCUGGAUUUCCUCUUGUAUUUUCGGACAGCCGUCUGGAGCCUCUGUUCACAAUUUCGACCCUAAAAAUAAAAUAAAAAACAAAUAAAUUAAUCAAAAUGCAUGCCUAUGAAAAUAAAAACAAAAUAUAAAAUUAAAGAAAAAUACAAAAUGCAAUAAAACUCGGGUUGCCUCCCGAGAAGCGCUAAGUUUAAAGUCUUCAGCCGGACGUUGCUUCUUUAUGUUCAAGCUGAAGCUACCGAAGUCAAUGGGCCAUCUUUACUAUCUCCCCAAUAAGCUUGAGCUGACUCCCUUUCACUUUGAACGUGCAAUCCGUGUCUCGGUCCUUUCUCUCGAUUGUUUGAUGUGGGAAAACUUCUUGGACAAUGAACGGCUCCGACCACCUUGAUUAGAGCUUGCUUGGGAAUAACCAAACACGAAUUUGCUCAAUGAUACCAAUUUUCCCUUGUGAAAUUUCUAUUUGACUCUAUCCUUAUGACCCCAAUAGGUUGCAGAGGCCUUCUCUCGUGGGUUGUUUGGCUCUUUGGGUGGCAACAUCCGUUUCUUCGCGUUCUCCUUGCCGUCAAUACCCCAACUUUUACAACCAUCUUUUGGAGGAGUUUUUGUUGAGUCUAUAAAUUAAACUUGUUCCUUCCUACUCUCCUUUCCGCCAUCGUCUCCUGCACUCAAAGAUGCUUUCCAAGGGUCGAAGUUCAAACAUCAAAAUUUUGUAAAUUUGUAACAAAAUCCAUAACAUCAAUAGCAAAACAAUCAUCUUUUUCACAUGGAUUUUUAUAUGCACUAAAAACAUUAAAUUUGAUCGUUUGAUCAUGCACCGCCAUAGUAAGAUCACCACCAGCAUAAUCCAAUUAGAGUUCUCGACGUAGCUAAAAACGGUCUCCCUAUAAUAAGAGGUAUCUCCAUAUCCUCAUCUAUAUCAAUUAUAACGAAAUCAACAAGGAAGAUAAAUUUAUCGACUUUCACUAGCACAUCCUCUAAAAUACCUUUUGGGAAAACUAAAGACCUAUCGACUAAUUGAAGAGUUAUAGCCGUUGUUGGGUUUCGGGCACGCAUACGCAGCGGAAAACAAAAAUUUUAUGCGAAUUAAACGAGUUUAAAUCACAUAAACACAUGCCCGAUAAAUUAAAUCAAUUAAUUACGUACCUUUGCGCUUCCAGCGAAAUUAAACAACAACAUACAUGCUAAUUAUUUAUUCGAAUUUAAAACAAUUAACAUGCUCGCGUUUAAACCAAGUAACAUGCUCACAAUGAUUUAAAUCGAUUACACAUAAUCAUAUAAAAUCAUACGAAACAAACAUGAAUACAUAGGUUUAAACGAAACUCAAAUCGAAACUAGGGUUUCGCGUAUUUACCUCUUGAAGCGUGAGGUAGGAGCGUUUAGCACGUCGAGAUUGCUACGGAAACCAAUCCGUACAAUCGGGGCAGCAGCGGUGCAGCGGCAGCAGCGGCGCGUGAGGUCACGGCGGCGCGUGAGUUUCACGCGCGAACUUCCGGGCGGCGCGUGGGGCAGCGUGCGGCUUCGGCUCGUGCGUUGCUCCUCGAUUCUUCGAUCUACAGUCUUCCUCCUCUCGGAUUUCACCUCGUAUACUUCGAUCUACUACAACGUGGCACUAGACACGAAGUAGUUAGAAUAAAACGGAAGAAAAGAGAAGGAAAAACAAUACCGAAAGAAGAACGGCCGAUAGACGGCCGAUUCCGGCGACGGAGGGGCGACGGCGGCGCGGUGGUGGCCGCGGAAAGAGAGGCCGAGAGAGAGGGGUCGGCCGCUUAGGGUUAGGGUUUGAUAUGUUUUGUGCAAGGUCUAUAAAUCAUGUAUUUAUAGUCCCUUGCAUAAAACCCUAGCGGGCUUAAGUUGGACCGGGCCCAACAGCUUAAGUCCGUUAGUACUUUCUCUUGCUCGUCUCUCUUAAUUCAAUGACCGAAAAAUUGCAACGAUUACAUUUUCGGAAUCAUUAUAAUUCCCUCGUCAUUACGAGUGCCAUCUUUCAUUUUCCAACUUUCCAAAAGUGGAAACCCUAGUUCAGUGCACUUUCUAAAUUUGGAAACUUUCCGAUUUAGAAAGUUCACUAACACGUUCGCCUAUUCUUUUCCUUUUCUUAUUCUCAUUCAUAAUUCCAAAUUACGAAUGUUGGACUCAAUCAUAUUGACUUCCAAACAUGCAAAGAUAAACUAUUUUAUCUCUGACCGUUUAUUCAAAGAUCUCAUGUGCACGAGCAGUGUGACCCUCGAUGGUUCAGGUGUAAGCUAGCCGUGGGCCCACAACCCUUUGUGGUCAAAACUCGUCCCCUUCGAGUUACGAUUAAGAUGAAGCUCGUUUCACCUUAAUCACCCAACGAAUCAAGAUUGGCGUCUAGCAACUACGCGUCAUGAUUCCCUAGAUACAAAUGAAGUGCCUGCAAGAACCUUCAGAUAUAGUUAAUGUACAGUACGGUCCCUUCGAUUCAUAUGUCCCGAUCGAACUAGAGGCAUUGGUUCAUCGAGACCUCUUUAUAUGUUCAAUGACGGUGCGAUCGUUCCAAGUGUUGUAAUCGUCACGUGCAUGACUUAGAGAAUCAAAUUCUCUAAUCAUCACUUAGUCAGCUCUGGCCAGAGACUUAGAAUGAUUACAAACUUUCAGAACACACAGGACAUCCAAGACUAUUCUAGCGAUCGAAUCCCCGACUACAAUGCACAGACCUCCCACUAGAUUUCGGACUGCACGAACACUGGCCCUUGGGAUGGUCCUCGGUGGAACUCAGGGACAGGUCACGAUACAGCUGGUCCUCUAGUGAAGUCACGGUGAUGUCUAGGUCAUAAGGACUAAUGGUGUACAACUAUACCAUAGAUAUCUCUACUCGAUUAUUGGGAACCACUUAGAGAUUUCUAGGGUGAGGGAGUUCAUUGAACUCGUCAACUUACGAGCACCCACUUAUGCAUGCCGAUAUCACAAUACCGUUUACUGAUGAGAUGCAGUACACAUACACUAAGUGCUAGUCUUAAUGGGAAAGGCCGAUAUCCUCAUUCGUGGCGUAACCCUUCGACUAGGAACACGUUUAACAGUUAUAAUACUUAAGUAAAUAUCUCACGAUCCUAACGAUCAAUUACUAGUACUUGUAAUAACUGUAAGGACUAUAUCUAUGCUUGUGACAAAGGGACAAAGAUAUAGAAUGCCAAGGUGUUUUAUCAUUAAUACGAAUAAAGGUUCGUUUAUUACAAUAAUAAAUACGAAAGACCACAGCCACAGGUUGGCUUGUUGGUCACCUACUCUAACAAUCUCCCACUUGACCUAAAGCCAACUACCCAUAAAUCGCAAUCCCAUCGACUCUCGAUGUUUCUCAUGGACCGAUCUCGGUAAAGGCUUCGUGAAGGGGUCUGCAACGUUCUCUUCCGAGGUGACUCGUUCAACCUUAACUUCACCUCUAUCAAUGAUCUCUCGGAUCACGUGAUACUUCCUCAGAAUAUGCUUCGACUUCUGAUGAGAUCGUGGCUCCUUAGCUUGCGCCACGACUCCGGUGUUAUCACAGUACAACGGUACUGGAUCACUAGCAUCAGGAAUGACACCCAACUCUUGGAUGAAUUUCCUUAUCCAAGUCCCCUCUUUUGCAGCUUCGGACGCUGCAAUGUAUUCCGCUUCGGUAGUGGAAUCCGCCGUCGUGCUUUGCUUGGAACUCUUCCAACACACGGCACCACCAUUCAGCGUGAAUAUAAAUCCAGAAUUCGACUUUGAGUCGUCCACGUCCGAUUGAAAACUAGAGUCGGUAAAACCCUCUAAUUUCAACUCGGCACCCCCAUAGACCAAAAAUAUAUCCUUAGUUCUUCGCAAGUACUUGAGGAUAUCUUUCACGGCUUUCCAGUGAGCCGGGCCGGGGUUAGACUGAUAUCUGCUUGUGACACUCACAGCAUACGCAAUAUCGGGUCUCGUACAUAGCAUGCCAUACAUUAUGCUUCCUAUGGCAGAAGCAUAGGGCGUCGUUUUCAUCUCUUCGAUUUCACUAGGUGUUUGGGGACACAUAGAUUUCGAGAGACGAACCCCAUGGGACAUUGGCAAGAAUCCCUUCUUGGAUUCUUCCAUGCUAAACCGUUUCAUAACGGUGUCUAUGUACAGGCUUUGGGAUAAGCCAAGCAUCUUUCUUGCUCUAUCUCUAUAGAUGCGUAUUCCUAAUACAUAAGAUGCUUCUCCCAAAUCCUUCAUUGAGAAACGUGUGGACAACCAUGCUUUCGUUUGUUGCAACAUUCCUACGUCAUUCCCAAUGAGUAGAAUGUCAUCAACGUAAAGCACUAAAAAUAUCACUGCCCUCCCACUAACCUUCUUGUAUACACAAGGUUCCUCCGGAUUCUUCUCAAAAUCAAACUAUUUGAUAGUUGAGUCGAACCUAAUGUUCCAACUACGGGAUGCUUGUUUCAAUCCAUAAAUGGAUCGCUGGAGCUUGCAAACCUUUUGCUCACUUCCAGAAGAUAUGAAGCCUUCCGGCUGCGCCAUGUAAAUUUCUUCCUCAAUGUCUCCAUUAAGGAAGGCGGUCUUCACAUCCAUUUGCCAUAUCUCGUAGUCGUACCACGCAGCUAUGGCCAGCAAAAUCCUAAUGGACUUCAGCAUCGCGACUGGCGAAAAGGUUUCCUCAUAGUCAACACCUUGUCUUUGAGUGUAUCCUUUUGCUACCAAUCUAGCUUUAUAGGUCGAUACCUUUCCAUCAACUCCAAUUUUCUUCUUAUAGAUCGACUUGCAGCCUAUAGGAACAAUUCCUUUGGGUGGAUCUACCAAGGUCCAUACCUUGUUGGAGUACAUGGAGUCCAUUUCGGAUUUCAUGGCAGUUAGCCAAUGUCCCAUGUCCGCAUCCGAUACGGCCUCAUUGUAUGUUCUUGGAUCUCGUCCAAGAUCAACAUGAUCUUCAUCAUUUUCGAGGAGGAAUAACCUAUCCGGCAUUUUCCGAACUCUUUCGGAUCUACGUACCGUAGGUUCAGGAGGUAUAUUAGUGGUUUGUUGUAUUGGUUCGAUUGCUUGUUCUUGCGUUUGAACUUCACUUUGUGGUUCUUGAACUACUUCAAGUUCUAUCAUGCUGCCCUUUCUAUCGGAUAGAAACUCCCUUUCCAAAAAGGUGGCAUUUCUCGAAACAAACGUCUUUGCUUCUUUGACAUAAUAAAACUCGUAUCCCAUUGAGUCUUCGGGAUACCCCACAAAAUAGCACAAGUCGGAUUUACUAUCUAACUUAUCUCCCAUUAAUCGCUUCACAUAAGCGGGACAACCCCAUAUCCUAAUAUGUUUGUAAUUGGGUUUCCGGGAAUGCCAAAGUUCAUAAGGUGUGGAUUUAACUGCUUUGGUGUUAACUCUAUUCAGCAAAUAUGCGGCAGUACGAAGUGCAUGACCCCAUAAGUAUGCCGGUAAGUUUGUGAACCCCAUCAUUGAUCGAACCAUAUCUAAUAAAGUUCGAUUCCGACGUUCGGAUACUCCAUUAAGUUGAGGAGUUCCCGGUGGAGUCCAUUGGGACUGUAUCCCGUUUUCUUUUAGAUAGUCAAUGAACUCGAUGCUCAAGUAUUCUCCACCACGAUCGGAUCGUAGCUUCUUAAUACUUCGUCCGAGUUGCUUUUCUACUUCAUGUCUAAAAUCUUUGAACCUUUCAAAUGUUUCAGACUUGUACUUCAUCAAGUACACAUACCCAUACCUAGAAUAAUCGUCGGUAAAGGUGGCGAAGUAGUUAUAUCCACCCUUCGCACUAACACAUAGUGGACCACAUACGUCUGUAUGGAUCAAAUCCAAAAGACCCUCGGCUCGUUCCAUUUUCCCUUUGUAGGGUGACUUGGUCAUUUUCCCUUUAAGGCAAGAUUCACAAGUUUGUAGUGAUUUCACGUCCUCCACAGAGAACAAUCCUUCACUGACAAAAUCGUUCAUCCUUCUUAAAGAGACAUGACCUAAUCUAGCGUGCCAAAGUUGUGCGGGGUUUUGAUCUAUCUCCUUACGUUUUGCUGAUAUAACAUUAAUAGGUAUUUCACUUGGAUUUAGUUCAUACAAGUUGUUUAAUAGUCGUCCUUUGCAAAUUAAAUUCUCAUUCUUUUGUAUAAUGCAAAUCGAAUUUCCAAAAACAAAAGUAAAACCUUCAAUAUCUAAUACAGGAAUAGAAAUAAGGUUUCUAAUGAGCGACGGAACAAAUAAACAAUCGUUCAAAACAAUAGGAAAACUAGAAUCCAAAACAUUUAAGUAAAUUGUGCCAAUGGCUUCAGCAACAACUCUUGCUCCAUUCCCCAUCCUUAGGUAGGUCUCACCCGCUCUAAGUCUUCGACUUCUUGUCAUUAGCUGCAAAUCAUUGCACAAAUGUGAGCCACAGCCCGUAUCCAAUACCCAAGAAGAAGAGUUGACAGACAAAUUUACGUCAAUGAAAUACGUACCCUUUUCAGAACCUUUCUGCUUCAGGUAAGCCUUGCAGUUGCGGCGCCAAUGUCCUUUCUUUCCACAGUGAUGGCAAGCAUCAUCAACUUGUUUGCUAACCUUUGCCUUGGGGCCCCCACUACCUUCACCCACUUCGAACUUGCUGUUAGGGAAGGGAACUCUUUCCUUUCUCUUCUUUUGGAAAGAACUCUUCUUUCCAGAAGUAGCAGCAAUGAGAACAGACUUCUCUUUCUUAAUGGUGGACUCGAAGCUGACCAACAUGUUCAUUAACUCAUCCAAGGGAGGAUCUAGUUUGUUCAUGUUGAAGUUCACUAUGAACGAUUCAUAGGAACUAGGAAGAGACAACAGGAUCAAAUCCAACGAGAGCUCGGCCGGGAGGGUGACAUCAAGAUUCACUAGCUUUUCAAGGAGAGUGAUCAUUUUGAGACAGUGCUCGUGGACCGAAGUCCCUUCGCGCAGUCUCGCUGUGAUCAACUCCUUUGUAGCAGCGUACCUCGAUGCCCUAAUAUUCUCACUGUACAUGCUAUCGAGAUGAGCCUUUAUAUCGAAAGCAUGCAAGUGAGACUCAUAUUUCCUCGCAAGCGCGGGCUCCAUGGCGGCUAUCAUAUAGCACCUAGCAUGAGUGUCAUCUUUCUUCCAAACUUCAUAAGUUUCCUUUUCAGCAUCAGUCGCUGUGGCAGGUAUAGUGGCGGGAAGUCUCUCGUUCAAAACAUAGAGACGCCCCUCAACAGUUAGCACAAGCUUAAGACUACGCAACCAAUCUAGGUAAUUAGGGCCAUUGAGUUUAUUGUCGAGGAUUGACAUUAUGGGAUUCUUAGACAUGAUUAUCUGAGACAUAUAGAGAAGAGGAUUAUUAGAGAUUCGCGUUAAAUGAUUGUUACAAUUAAAUGUUUGGACUUGUGUUAUUUAAUUGUUCUCCCACUAAUUUUAUCGAGUUCCACUUCCCUCUAGUAGACAAACGAGAAAACUAAUUUUUCUUAAUGGGCUUUAGGUCCAAUAGACAAAUAUAACCCGUAGUUAAUCUAGCCUGAUUAUAUUUGCCCAAAGGUAGAUCACAAUCAAUCAUAUCCACAAUAUGACCCUAAAUUAAUUUUCCUCACACUUGAUAAUGACCUAAGUUAAUCUCGCGAAUAUCAAAAUCGUCGUGUGUCAAGUCUAACCUACCAAUCAAAGAUGCUCAUAGAACUUGAUUAUGCCAAACUAAUGCAGUCCCUAGUUAAUCUAGCCGACCACGUUAAUUCAACAUAACCCUUUUCCACGGCUACCUUCAUCAUUAUGUCAAUUGAAUUACAGCUUACUCUACCAUAGCACUCCCCGCUAACACGGCUUACUGCACUAUAGUAAAGGGCUACACAUAAUCCAACCGUUGGCAGAAGGAAAGAAAUAACUCAACAGAUUGGGUCAUUCUUUAUAGCUUGAAAUGAUUCUCAAUUAAAUUAAGAAUGAGGGGUUUUAUUAUAAUGUUUCAUCUCAUCAGAAGGUUUUGGAUUGGUCUAUGUGAUUCCUACAUCUAUGUUCUCUAAAGGUAUAUGGAAGCGCAUAUUGUCCUAAGAGGAACAUACGACCUAAUUUCAUAAUUAAUUACAAUAAUUAAUUAUCGGGUUUUCAAAAUAAUUAUAGAACCUCAACUAGCAUAAAUCAUUCAAAUAAUGUUGAGGUACUAUUAAUUAAGUUGAACUAUAAUCAAUAUUAUAUAUGUGUUCUAUUAAUUGAAAUCAAUUUAACAAUUUAAAUCAAUUUAAUUAAUCUAACACCUAUUUACUAAAAUAGAUGAUUGUUGAUCCAAUUAUCUAAUUGGAAUUAAUUGAAAAUAAAUUUCCAAAAAUUAAAAUCAAUUUUUUUAAGUUUAAUUUUAGAAAUCUGAAAUAAAUUUUUUUUUUUUUUUUUUUUAUUUUCAGUGAACCGGUUCGGCCCAACCGGUCAGACCGGUUCGGACCGAAGCGGUCCGGUUCUGUCCGGUCCAGCUGACCCAAAUCAGUGGGCCGGGUCAGUCGGACCGGGAACCGGUCUGACCGACCCGAAUCCACGUGGAUUCGGUCAGCUAAAUCGCACACAACCAUCGAACCGGCCGGUCCGACCGGUUCGAUCCGAACAAUUAAAAACCGACAUUUUUAAAACAAUUUCAGAUCCGAUUUUCCAAUUUUAAACAAUUUUAAAGCUGGAAAAAUUCUAAACAAUAUUUCAAAAAUAUUUUAAACUUACGAAAACUCCCAAUUACAUAAUACAACAAUCACUACUUUAAUAAAUCGAACAUGCAUAAAAUCAUAGCAUAUUAUACGACGCAAUUAAUUACGCAACGAGCUCUGAUACCACUGUUGGGUUUCGGGAACGCAUACGCAGCGGAAAACAAAAAUUUUAUGCGAAUUAAACGAGUUUAAAUCACAUAAACACAUGCCCGAUAAAUUAAAUCAAUUAAUUACGUACCUUUGCGCUUCCAGCGAAAUUAAACAACAACAUACAUGCUAAUUAUUUAUUCGAAUUUAAAACAAUUAACAUGCUCGCGUUUAAACCAAGUAACAUGCUCACAAUGAUUUAAAUCGAUUACACAUAAUCAUAUAAAAUCAUACGAAACAAACAUGAAUACAUAGGUUUAAACGAAACUCAAAUCGAAACUAGGGUUUCGCGUAUUUACCUCUUGAAGCGUGAGGUAGGAGCGUUUAGCACGUCGAGAUUGCUACGGAAACCAAUCCGUACAAUCGGGGCAGCAGCGGUGCAGCGGCAGCAGCGGCGCGUGAGGUCACGGCGGCGCGUGAGUUUCACGCGCGAACUUCCGGGCGGCGCGUGGGGCAGCGUGCGGCUUCGGCUCGUGCGUUGCUCCUCGAUUCUUCGAUCUACAGUCUUCCUCCUCUCGGAUUUCACCUCGUAUACUUCGAUCUACUACAACGUGGCACUAGACACGAAGUAGUUAGAAUAAAACGGAAGAAAAGAGAAGGAAAAACAAUACCGAAAGAAGAACGGCCGAUAGACGGCCGAUUCCGGCGACGGAGGGGCGACGGCGGCGCGGUGGUGGCCGCGGAAAGAGAGGCCGAGAGAGAGGGGUCGGCCGCUUAGGGUUAGGGUUUGAUAUGUUUUGUGCAAGGUCUAUAAAUCAUGUAUUUAUAGUCCCUUGCAUAAAACCCUAGCGGGCUUAAGUUGGACCGGGCCCAACAGCUUAAGUCCGUUAGUACUUUCUCUUGCUCGUCUCUCUUAAUUCAAUGACCGAAAAAUUGCAACGAUUAUAUUUUCGGAAUCAUUAUAAUUCCCUCGUCAUUACGAGUGCCAUCUUUCAUUUUCCAACUUUCCAAAAGUGGAAACCCUAGUUCAGUGCACUUUCUAAAUUUGGAAACUUCCCGAUUUAGAAAGUUCACUAACACGUUCGCCUAUUCUUUUCCUUUUCUUAUUCUCAUUCAUAAUUCCAAAUUACGAAUGUUGGACUCAAUCAUAUUGACUUCCAAACAUGCAAAGAUAAACUAUUUUAUCUCUGACCGUUUAUUCAAAGAUCUCAUGUGCACGAGCAGUGUGACCCUCGAUGGUUCAGGUGUAAGCUAGCCGUGGGCCCACAACCCUUUGUGGUCAAAACUCGUCCCCUUCGAGUUACGAUUAAGAUGAAGCUCGUUUCACCUUAAUCACCCAACGAAUCAAGAUUGGCGUCUAGCAACUACGCGUCAUGAUUCCCUAGAUACAAAUGAAGUGCCUGCAAGAACCUUCAGAUAUAGUUAACGUACAGUACGGUCCCUUCGAUUCAUAUGUCCCGAUCGAACUAGAGGCAUUGGUUCAUCGAGACCUCUUUAUAUGUUCAAUGACGGUGCGAUCGUUCCAAGUGUUGUAAUCGUCACGUGCAUGACUUAGAGAAUCAAAUUCUCUAAUCAUCACUUAGUCAGCUCUGGCCAGAGACUUAGAAUGAUUACAAACUUUCAGAACACACAGGACAUCCAAGACUAUUCUAGCGAUCGAAUCCCCGACUACAAUGCACAGACCUCCCACUAGAUUUCGGACUGCACGAACACUGGCCCUUGGGAUGGUCCUCGGUGGAACUCAGGGAUAGGUCACGAUACAGCUGGUCCUCUAGUGAAGUCACGGUGAUGUCUAGGUCAUAAGGACUAAUGGUGUACAACUAUACCAUAGAUAUCUCUACUCGAUUAUUGGGAACCACUUAGAGAUUUCUAGGGUGAGGGAGUUCAGUGAACUCGUCAACUUACGAGCACCCACUUAUGCAUGCCGAUAUCACAAUACCGUUUACUGAUGAGAUGCAGUACACAUACACUAAGUGCUAGUCUUAAUGGGAAAGGCCGAUAUCCUCAUUCGUGGCGUAACCCUUCGACUAGGAACACGUUUAACAGUUAUAAUACAUAAGUAAAUAUCUCACGAUCCUAACGAUCAAUUACUAGUACUUGUAAUAACUGUAAGGACUAUAUCUAUGCUUGUGACAAAGGGACAAAGAUAUAGAAUGCCAAGGUGUUUUAUCAUUAAUACGAAUAAAGGUUCGUUUAUUACAAUAAUAAAUACGAAAGACCACAGCCACAGGUUGGCUUGUUGGUCACCUACUCUAACAGCCGUCUGUUCAAUGUCACCUAACCCAAGACUUUUAUAAGUGGAAUAAGGCAUAAGGUUAACGCUAGCAACUAAAUCAACGAGCGAUCUAAAUUUUUUACCUUCUAUAGUACAAGGGAUAGUAAACUUACCUAGGUCGCCGAGUUUUUGUGGAAGGGGCCGAGUAAGAAUUGCACUGCAUUGUUCGGUGAGUUGGAUCAUCUCGUUCUCUUGCAAUUUCUUCCCCUUUGUCACGUGGUCCUUGAGGAAUUUCACCCAUUCAGGCAUCUUUUGAAGUGCUUCGAUCAAUGGGAUAUUUAUGUGAAUUUCCUUCAACUUGUCUAAGAAGCUUUGGUAUUCGGCAUCGAGCUUUUUCUUUAGAAUUCUCUUAGGAUAUGGAAUUGGUAAGGCCUGUCCACUCUCCGUUUCCGAUGGUUUUUCUUGAAUUAAUUUUUUUUCCACAAUCUCUCUCAGUUUCUCGAUUGUCGUGUCUCUUCUCUCUUUUCGUGGGGUUUCCUCCGGUUUGCUUCCCGUUCUUCAGGGUGACUGCUUGGCAAGUUUCGGCCUUGAUAUUUUUCUUUUGCAAAAUUUGGGGGUAUGGAAUUGGUUCUACCCAUUCGGCUACAGUGACUUGCGGCUUUCGUUUAAUUUCUUAUUUCUCCUCGAUCUUUAGAUCGAUAGCUUGGCAAGUCUCAAACUUUUACUUUCGAGGGUCCUCCGUAUUUGAUGGCAAUGCUCCUGCUGGACGGUUCUCUUGAUUUGACGCUAGUUGUGCCCCUUGAGUUUCUAAGUUGCGCAGCGAGGCUUGAGUGACGGUCAUAAAUUGGGCCAACACCUCAUCAAUGUGUGAGUUUUGGGCCGGUGGAUUGUUCCUUUGAUUUUGGAAUUGUCCUUGAGAUCUUUAGUACCCUUGGUCUUGUUGAUUGUCUCGAUAUUGCCCUUGUGAUCUCCACCCUUGAUUUGGGAAUUGGUGAGGCGCAUUGUUGACGUAAUUGAGUGAUUCCACAUCUUGCUGGCAUUGGAGCGUGUAAUGAUUUUCCCCGCAAACAAAGCAUGGAGAAUCCAUGGAUUGGACUUGUUGCAGUGGGUUUUCUUUGAUGUGUUGUAGAAGGAUCUGAUUCUGCUGAGCAAUUUGGGACACUUGAGCUUGAAAGACCAAUUGCAUCUAAUUCCAAAACUCCAGGAACCUUCUUUGUUCCACUAAUUAUCCUUCCGCUUGAUUUGGCAAACCUAUUCUACGCAAUCUGAUCCAACAUAAUAAAUGCAUUAGGUAUAGAUUGACUCAUAAAAUUUACCUCCGGUUGAUGCAUAUAAAACGGUUCUGGAAUUCUCGUUAAUUCCUUGAUAAAAGAUGUGGAUUUGCCACCUUUGCUCCACUAUGUGAGUUGGACACUGCCUCAAAAGAGUCUUGAAUCUUUCCCAUGCGUCGAAUAGUGCUUCUCCUUGAUCUUGGACGAAAUUGUGAAUCUCCCGUCGUAUUAUUUCAUCCUUCUCCGGUGAACUAUAUAUAAACUUUCAUGAAAAGUUUGAGGAGUUGAGGCCAUGACUAGAUGGAGUGAGGAGCUUGGGACCUCAACCACUGGCGAGCUCUUCAUUGUAGGGAAUGUUGAAGAGAAUUAAUUGGAGUGCCUCUUGGGAAACACCGUUUUGACGAUGGGAGUUACAGGUAUCGAGAAAAUUGACAAUGUGAAAAUGCGGAUCUUCACCUGCCAAUCCACUAAAUAGCCCGUUAUUGUGGAGCAUCAUCAAAAGCCCUUGCUUAAUCUCGAAAUUAUGAGCCUCGAUGGGUGGAGGCUGGAUGCUUAGGCGGAAUCCAUCAAGAGUCGGAAUUAUAUAGUCCUGAAGUGCCCGCGGCCCAACUGCUAGUUGUAAGGGAAGUCGUGGGGGGUUGGUCUUGGAUUCGAAUUCCGUCUCCAUCGAGUAAGUAACCCUCUUCUUCUCUGUGUUCAUCGUCCUGCAUUAAAUUAUUUUCGCGUUGGAUUCUCCUAGCGGGUCGAAAAGUGCGUUCGAUCUCGGGAUCAAACGGUUCUCUGUUGAGAUUGAGUCUCAUGUGCAUAAAAUGGUACAUAAAAUAAAAAUAAAAAGGAAAUUAAAUUAAAUUUGUGUGAAUCGUGAAAAUUGUUCAAAUCUAGAGCUAGAAUAAAAUAAAUAAUUAAAAUAUUCGCCGGCAACGGCGCCAAAAUCUUGUUGGUUGGAAAUACCUAAACGCAAGUGCACGUAUUAAACAAGUCAUAUAGUGGAUAAUUAAGUCCGAAUAUCGAUCCCACAUAGAAUAUUAAAUUAUUUAAUCAUAGACGCUUAAUUCUACCAAUUAUGCUCAAGCCCACCCUACACAGUCGAAAGUUGAUUAAAUAAACUAAAUUAAACUAAAACAAUUGAAACAUAAUUUAAACAAGCAAAAGCAAUAAAGCAAUUAAACACAAAUAUUUAUCAAAGUAAACAAACCUAGAAUUUUAUUAUCCCCCUAUGUGAUUAUUAAUUCCCCAAUUCCUUCAAUUGUGCAAGUUAUUAAGUCAGAUUACUAACCCGAGAUGCUAAAUUAAUCAUAACCCGCUUCCGCGUGUAUUACGAUUCUAAUACUCUAGAUUCCGUUAUUGUAUUCCUACGCAAUUAAAUCUAGAACACAGCAUGAAGCACAAAUCUCAAUAAUAGCUACCUAAGAUAUUAACUAUAUUCCUAUGUUAAUACCACAAAGUCUCUUGUACCCAAGUUCUAAUUAUUAACCCGAUCUUCCGAUUGAUGCGAUUAACAAUAAAAUAAAAGUACAUAAAGUGGUCAGUUUCAUGCACUUCAUAAAACAAGUAGAAGAAUUAAGCCGGAAUUAAAACUUGCAUAAAAUCGUGGAAAAGGGUUCAUAAAUCCCACAUAGGUUCAAAAUAAAAUCCUAGAAGUAAUAACGUAUCCAAUGCAAUAUCCUAUUAGAGUCUAUAACUACGUUUUCAAGGGGCUAGUGUAAUUAUCGAUACCACAUGGACCUUAAAGUUAUUUAAGCAUACCUCAGAGGUGUGGCUGUAAUUUACCCUAAAUAUUGUAUUCGAGCCUUCUAAAUAUCUGCUAAACUCCCAACUUCAGAUGGUAUGACAAUUCUAACCGAUCAUUGUCUUUUUGUCUUUGCGUGUGUCUAUAUAUAUAUAUAUAUAUAUAUAUAUAUAUAUAUAUAUAUAUAUAUAUAUAUGUGGGAUAACACCCUAGUUUUGGAAAUAUAUAGGGAUAUGUUCUAUGGAUUUUUCUUUACUAGUCAAAAACCCAAAUUCUAAUCUUAAUUUGAUAGACCCCCCUAGACAUAUUAAAAUACCCAUUUUGCCCUUUCAGUUAUAAUUUAAAACCCUAACCCCUAGCCUCCCCAUCUCUCGUCCGACAUUUAUCACCUCUCCCACUCUCUCUCUUUUUCUCCACCUCUCUCUCUUCAUCUCUCUAACUUUCCUCUCUAUGCCCACAACCCUCCGUCGUCGUUGCUCCGCUCACCUCCUUGCGCCACCGACGCUGCUCCGUUCACCUCCUUGCGCCACCGUCGCGGCUCCCCCUAAGGUUUCUGAUAGUCAGCUCAUACCGACACGUAGAAAUUGGGCAUUGUUCCUCCAUCCCUCCGCCGCCGCCGUCGUCGAUCAGCGUGAUGGAUACCAAUUCGAGCAUCGUUACGACUCCAAUUGGAAAUAAAGAAGGAGAAGAAGAAAAAUCUGUAGUUGAGGUACUUUCUCUUAUAUAUCUCCAAAAUUUUCAGAUUUUCAGAACUGUGUUGUAUCAAUGGCGUCGGACAUGUUCAAACCUCAUAGAUCCGUUCUCCUACGGCGGAUUCGUUCGCCUUGGACCCCUCCAAUCGCCGCCGCUACUGAGAAACUAUUGAUCAUAUUUCAAAUUCUAUUUUUUUAAUUAUCGACAUUGAUUUCAGUGAUCUUAAAUCACCCUUCUCUGAUACACUCUCUUAUAGUUCUUCUCUAUGUACAUAUUACACACAUUAAAAGGUGUGUAUGUGUGUAUAUAAUAAGCAUCAUACAUGUUUAUUUAUGGUUGAUUGUUGGUGAAAUACAGUAGAUCUAGGGUUUUAAUUUUUUUUUUGUUAUGUAUUCUUAUAUAAUAAGCAUCAUACACGAUGAGAGGAGGAUGGGUGACGACGUCUACGCAAGGUGGCUGUGAGCGGGGGCCGCGUCAUCUUUUUUGUCGAGAAUUUCGCUGGUAUUAUUUAAUUUUUGAAAUAAUAUAUCCAUUUUAAUCUCUUGUUUGCAUAUGCAUUUUGAAUGAGGACGAUGUUAAAUGUGAACCAAUUGAAUUCUGGUGAAACUUUUGUUUAUGUUAGAAAAAAACUCGAUAAUUUAAUGGUUUGUUUGAGGAAAUUAGCGGUAAUAAAUGAAAUCAUUGUAUUGCUCCCUAAAUUUCUUUGGUAUUUUAUUUUAUAUUGUUCGUGAUGGUGGGCUCAUUGUUAAGGCGAAUCUUGGAAUUAGUGGAGCUGCGAAGAAUGCUAUAUUUAAGUGUAAUGUGGGAAACAGAAGUCCGAGCUUAUUGUGUUCAUUGCUGCCAAACAAAAUAGAGACACUCAAUGUAGGUUUGGAGUUUGAAGAGGCAUAUGAUGUUAUUUUCUCUGUUAUUGGCCGAAGUUCUAAUGGUUCCUUAAAGUCAACACUCAAAUUUGCAUAAUUGCAUUUUCCAUUUUUAUGUUCUUUUUCUAUAACUCGUAUAUUUUUGUCACAUGGAUUGUUGUUUUUGCUACUUCUAUACAGUAAGGGAUUAUGGGGAGAAUUGUGCUAUGAAGUAAAAUUCAUUCAGACUAUAGAACACUAUAGAUGAUUUGUAGUCAUAUAUAGUAAUGUUACUACAUGUUACUGUAGUCAUAUGUAGUAAUGUUACUAUAUGUUACUAUAGUCAUAUAUAGUAACAUAUAGUCAUGUCUGGGUUAUGUGGGUUUUUUUAAUGUAGAGUGAUGAUGAUGAUGAUUUGUUCAUUUGUUGAAGAACAUAUGCAUAUGUUAUUGUGUAUUUUGAUUUAUAUUUUGAAUCGAUGGUUUGAAAUUGGAGGAUCAAGUGGAUGUGAUUUCUCUUAUGUGUUCUAUCUUUCUGCUAAUCAAGCCGACGGAAAAUAUUUGUGCUCAGUGAAACAGUGUUCAAAUUUAUAUGCUAUACAUAGUGUUUUUGACAUAUGAAAUUUUGUUGUGUAAGAUGAUGAAGAAUCCGUGUUACGGAGAGAGAAAGAAACAGAUAAAAUGAGUAUACAAGCUUAUGCAGCCCUCCUUGCAUUUCUUUUGAUGGAAAGGUUUAAUAGUUUUUUGCCAUAGGCUCGUGUGAAUUCUUGUUUCGUUUAAAUAAUUUUUUUACCAUGUUUCUCACGAUUUUUUAUUUACGGUUUUUGUUUCCAAUUAGAGCACGGGUAAUGCAAUUGCAGAAUGUUUUCCCGACCGGAACUUGGUUAUAUUUGUUCCAGUACUGUGGGAGAGAGAGACUUGUGUUACCAAGUCAUAUAUAGUCACAUGUGGUCAUAUACAUGUAGUCAUAUAUAGUCACGUGUGGUCAUAUACAUGUAGUCACACGUGUGGUCAUAUACAUGUAGUCAUAUAUAGUCACGUGUGGUCAUAUACAUGUAGUCAUAUAUAGUCACGUGUAGUAACAUGUGGUAAUAUAUUGUUAUAUACAAGCUAUGUGUUUUUUAUUAUGUAUAGUGAUAUUGAUGAUUGUAUUUUUCCAAUUUUUUGUUGGGUAUUACUUGAUUUAUAAUAUCAAGAUUUAAAUUGUGAAUUUUGUUUUUGCUGUAGAUGAAGUUUUUUUAAAUUUAAUUAUACAUGAAUGUGGUAUAUUAUAGUCAGAUGUAGUAUAUAUACUAGUCAUGUAUAGUCAAUUUUAAUACAGUAAAUUUGAAAAAAAAAUUAAAAAAAAAAAAAUUAAAAUUAAAAAAAUUAAAAAAUUAAAAAAUUAAAAAAUUAAAAAAUUAAAAAAAUUCAAAAAAAAUAAAAAUGAAAAGAAAAUAUAAAAAUACAAAAAGGGUAUAUAUUAAAAAAAUAAUAAUAAAAUAAACAUUUAUAAUUUUUUAUUAAAAAAAUCUGUAAAAAUGAUAAAUGCAAGUCCAAAAAUGCUAAUGCAGUUGGCCAUAAUGUUGAAUGCAGGGCGAAAAUUGCACAUAAGGGCACAAUAGUAUUUUUGCCUCUCCAGGGGGUUAUCUCAAAGGAAGAAUUUUAGGGGUGGACUUAUCCCUAUAUAUUUUCCAUAUGAGGGGUGUAUAUCCAAUGGACCCAUAUAUAUAUAUAUAUAUAUAUAUAUAUAUAUAUAUAUAUGGACAAAAUACACUUCGUCCCCUAUAAAUAUUUCAUUUUGGCACUUGUCCCCCUAAAAAUUGAGAAAAAAGAUAAUCCUUCGAAAUAUUGUUUUGGUUGCACUUUACCCCAAAGCUAAUUUUCGGUGGACAGCGUGCAACAAAAAUAACAUUUUAAAGGGGCAAUGUGUAUAAAUAUAGUAUUUUUAAAGGGCAAAGUGAAAAAAAACACUCAAUUCUGGUUAAUAAUCGAUUGAAAUUUUGCUAUCGGAGCAAUGUGCAUCACGUGUAACAUUUUAAAGGGGGAAUUCACUUAUUUAAAUUUUGAAGGGGUAAAGUAGGAAAAUUAAAAAUUUAUAGGGGGUGACAUGCAAUUUUCCCUAUAUAUUAUACUAAAAUUAUUUGAUCUAUUUUUGCUGUCAGAAAUCAUAGCCAUGGAGACAAGAGAGGUACCGCCUGCUCGUUUUCUGAUCAAGAUCGAAUCCUUCUCCUUGUUUGACGAAUAUAAAAUUAAGAAGUAUGAAACAAGCGAAUUUGUGGCUGGAGAGUACAAGUGGUACUCUCUCUCUCUCUCUCUCUCUCUCCCUUAAGCCAAAUAAAGGAAGAAGUAAUGGAGGAUGUUUGAAUUUAAUGGAAAAGAUAGUGAUUAUAUAUCUGUAAACUUGGCUAUGGCGGACACAAGCUCUCUGCCUACAAACUGGGAAGUCAAUAUUGUCUUCAACAUCUUUCUCUUUAAUCAGAUUUCUGGCCAUGACCUUUAUUGACUAGGUACAUAUUAUUUUUAUGGGAAAAGUAAAGUUUGCACCAUCGUGUUUGUACCGAUUUUGUAUUUGGUCCAUCGUGCACAAAAAAACACAUUUGGUUCCUCGUAUUUAAAAAAAAUAAACACUUUUAGUCAUUUCCGUCAAUUUUCUAUUAGUACUAACGGAAUCAAGUAGGGCUGGAAAAAAAAUACCAAUUACCAUAUACCAUGGUAUACCAACCAAGGAUUACCGAAUAAUUACCGAAAGAAUGGUUACCAUUGUCUACGGUACGGUAUUAGUACCGUACCAUUACAAUAUGGUACGGUAUUGGUAUUGUAUUUCUUAUACCACAGUAAUACCGUACCAUACCGCAGUUUACAUUUUAAUUCGAUUAAUAUAUUUUUUUCAAUAUUAUUUUUUAUAAUUCUAUUUUGUUUACUUAGAAGCUUAUAAAUGGCAACAAUUAUUUUUUUCUUAAGUUAGUGGUAGUGUAUUUGUUUUUUUUUUUUCUUUUUCUACAAAGUUGAAUUUUGUAAUUGGACAUAUAUGUUCUACUAAUUUGUCUUUUAUGUUUCCUAUAGCCAACUAAUUUUAUUAUAUAUGAUGUAUAAAUAUUUUAUUUUUUUACCUAUAUGAAUGUAUAGUAUUGGUAAAGUAUUUAUUGUAUGUAAUAAUUAUUAAGUACAAUCAAGUUCGUAACAAAUACCUAGUUGUUCCAUUAAGCAACAUUUACAUUAUCAUGGUAUAUGUUCUUGUUUCAAUGAAGAAAUUAUGUUAAUUAUUCUGAUUAUACACCGGACCUUAUAUAUAUAUAUAUAUAUAUAUAUAUAUAUAUAUAUAUAUAUAUAUAUAUUAGAUGCAUCACCAAGUAUGGUAGAGUACCACGUACCGAUUGUACCGUACCGAAAAUAACGGUAUACCGAACUUUUUGGUACGGUAAUGAUAUGAAUUUUUUUAAUACCGCAAUGUACGGUAGGUACACGGUAUUGAGUUAAAUGUUUGGCAACCGUACCGAAUCCACCUCUAGAAUCAAGUGUGUGUCCAUUAUUGACUUAACUGACAAACUAACGGCAAAUUGAUGGAAAUGACCAAAAGUGUUAAGCUAUUGAAACAUGAGUGACCAAAUGUAUUUUUUUAUGAACAUGGAAGACCAAAUGUGAAAUCGGUUUAAACAUGAGGGAUGAAAAUUGUAAUUUCCCCUUAUCUUUAUCUUUCUUCUGUAUAUUCUUUUUUUUUUUCUGGUAAAUUAGUUUGUUUUAGUCCUAUAGAUUAGUUUAUUUAAAUUGCCCUAAGGAGUUUUUUUUUUUUUUCUUAAUAAUGUUAUUUAGCAGGAAUAACAAGAUGUUUCCAAGCAAUGAAAUUUGAAUGGGGCCUUUCAAAAUUUAUUUCUAAGGAAAUUAUGUCUGAUCCAUUAAACGGAUUCCUAGUUAAUUAUACAUGCGUGUUUGGUGCUGAAAUUUUCGUUAUCGAAAGACAAGCGGCCGUUGAAUGUUUAUCUUUAGAUAAUGUCGAUACUCGUUACAAGCAUGAUUUGAAGAUUUCAGAUUUCUCCAAAUUGGAAGAAACAUGGAAGUUUGCAUAUUUUAUUGCUGCAGGCCAGAAAUGGUAACUUUUAUUAGUAUUACUGAUUAGAGCAACUCCAAUGCAAAACAUCAAAAUUGAAAUAUCAAACAUUCAUUUGAUAAUUAAGAUAAUAUUUUAAUAUUCAUUUACAAUUCAUCUACUCCAACCAUGGUUAUUAAUUUUAAUAAGGGUUAAUAGCAUUUCGCCACCUGAACUUUGCCCGUUUUUGCGCUUUGCCACCUUAACUAUAAAAAGUUGCACGAUGGCACCCAAACAUGCAUUUUUAUGCACAUAACCACCUGGAAGGAAUAUUCUGGCGAAUCUUCCCACUUUCCGACGCACGCACGCUGCACAUGCGAAAGUACAUGGGCUUUUUCGCCUUUUCCUUUGCAUAUCCUUCCAAAGACCUAGUUUCGCCCAAUUUCCCCUCCAUCUCUGAUUUUCUUCCCUUUCUCGUACCUCUUCAGCAGCGAGAAUCCACAAAUCCCAACAGCUUGUCUGAUUCGAUGAUUGUUUCCUCACCAUAUUUUAAUCAGAAAGAGAAACAGAGGAGAUAAAGUGUUUUUUCCUCACUCCUUUUCGACUUCUGAGCUGUGACUUGUGCUAGAGAAAUAAUCAAAUCCCAUUUUUUCUUUGAUUUUUUAUGAUGUACCCCCCUCUCUCUCUCUCUCAAUCUCCAGAACCUAUGUUCUGUAGAGAAUUUCAUAGUGGCUAAUUCACAUUGUUUUUAUAUAUCUCAUACUAAUUUAUAAUAUAUUUUUUUUAGAUCAAUGAUGUAAUUUGAAUGAGUGGGUUGCACAUGUAGAGGCAGGUAUAUUGAUUACAUUCGUUUCAUUGCCUCAAGUUGGCGAUGAUUUCAAGCGGAUUCGAUUAAAGUAAUACCUUAGCGACAAUCUUGAGAUUUUUUUUUUCUUUUUCGGUGUAAGCCCUAAAUCGGAGGUAAUACCUUAACAACGAUGGAUAAUCCAUGUUUUGUACUGCCAGAAGUUGUGCUGGAUUUGAAAUCUGAAAGUUGUGAUUUGUUAAUGGUGUGGAUGUUUAAAUUAUGCGAAAUUAGAGAUGAGAGGAGGCAUGAAGUAAAGAAGAUGUAUGAGAAAGAGAGGGAAAUCAGAGAUGGAGGAAAAAAUGGGCGAAAUUAGGUCUUUGGAAGGAUAUGCAAAGAUAAAGACGAAAAAGCCCAUGUACUUUCGCAUGUGCAGCGUGCGUGCGCCGGAAAGUGGGAAGAUUCGCCAGAAUAUUCCAUCCAGGUGGUUAUGUGCGUCAAAAAUGCAUGUUUGGGUGCCACCGUGCAACUUUUUUUAGUUAAGGUGGCAAAGCGCAAAAACGGGCAAAGUUCAGGUGGCGAAAUGCUAUUAACCCUUUUAAUAAUCAAUUGGAAGUUUUUUAGUGGUUUUAUUUGUAAUUGUCACGUGUCAUUUUGUGAUUGCAUGUUUAGGUGGUUAUUGUUUUGAUAACUCAAUUUACAUGAUGUAUUUUUACUUAUGAAGAGGUAGAUUAUCAAAAUACUUACCCAUUUUGAUACUCCUAUUGGAGUAGAAAAUUAUAAUUUUGGGAUAUCAAAAAUGUAGUUUAUGGAUUUGAUAAUCCAUUUGAUGCUCCCAUUGGAGUUGCUCUUAGAGUUUAGGGCAAAUUGCACAUCACCCCAUAAAAAAAUCUAUUUCUUCACUUAACCCCCUAAAUAUUUUAAAAAGUGAAUGCCCCCCUUCAAAAUGUUAUUCUUGUUGCAUUUUGCCCUGAUAACAAAAUUUCGAUGGAUUAUUCAUCGGCAUUUGAGUAUUUUUGUUGCAGAUUGCCCCUUUAUAUGCUACUUUAGUUGCAUGUUACCUCUUAAAAACAUUAUUUUUUGCACAUUGCCCCUUUAAAAUAUUAUUUUUGCUGCACAAUGCCCACCAAAAAUUGGCUUCUGGGGCAAAGUGCAACCAAAAUAAUAUUUUGAAGGGGGAUUAUCCAGUUUUUGAAUUUUUAGGGGGUAAAGUGUGAAAAUGAGAAAUUUGUAGGGGGUGGAGUGCAUUUUUUCCUAGAGUUUAUUGCAAUUAGUACCCCGAAUUAUAUCGAAUUACUAAAAAAAUACCUAAUAUUAUUUUAUUGACAAAAACUCCCCUGUGAUUUUUUUUAGCAAUUGAUACUUCUGUAUAGGGGGUUGUGUGCUAAAAAAAACUUGAAUCAUAAGGGGGUUCUUGACAAAAAAAUAACAUGAGGUAGUUUUUUCAGUAAUUCGACAUAGCACGGGGUACUAAUUGCAAUAAGCCCUUAUAAAUUACAACUAUUUUUAUGGUAUCCUUGCAAAUUAUAUUGUUUGUUUCACACUACUUUAUUUUGAUAAAUGUAGGAAGAUUAUUCUUUACCCGAAAGGAAAUGGAGAGGGAAAUAAAAGCCACGUUAGCAUCUUUCUGUCGUAUCUUGGUUCAGAAAGAGUGCAGACAUGUGUUAACAUAUGUUUGAAAAAGCAGCUGGACAAUGAUAAAGACACGAACGAUGAUAAACACAUGAAAAAAAGUAAUUUAUAAAUUCCGAUUAUUUACAAUGUUUGAAGUUUCAAAGUUAAUUGGCAGCGAAAAAGGCCGAAAAUUAAACUUUUUUUUUUCAUUUUUGCAGAUCUUAAUCAUUGGUUUUCCGCUUCCGAAACUACUUUGGGAUGGCGUACAUUCGUUGAGCUUGCAACUAUUAAUGAUCUGACCAAGGAUUCAUUGUCAAAGAUUGUUGUCUUCUAAGUAUUGAAAUCCACAUCCAAGCAAUUGCUCGCUUACCUAUUAAAAAAUCGGAUUAUGCAAUUUCGUCUUAGCGUAUGUCUAAUUUCUAUUUAAUUUAUAUCGAAUAUUUGAAUUCUUAACUAUUUUAUUUUAUUUUAUUGACAUUGUAGAUUGAAACACCAUUUGUUUCACCUCUUACCGUGAAACGACAAAAAAGAUUCUAGUGAUUAUGUUUAAGGACGUGUUUUUCUAGAGUUUUUUUGUCGAUUGAGUUCAAUGCCAUAGUUUUGCAUUAAGAGGGUACAUUUUUUCCGUUUCAUAUUUAACUGACGGACUAAUGGUAAAUAAAGAAAAAUAACCAAAAGUGUUGAAUUGUUGAAACAGGAGUAGACGUGCAAGAUGGAACAAAAGUUCCAAUUUUCGCCAGUUCUGAUCCGAAAAAUUCCGAUUUUGGAACAAUUUUUGCAUUCCGACUUCCGAAAUUUCGAUUUUCGAAUUGUUUUUAUUGGAAUUGGAAUUAUAUAUCAAAAAAUUGGGAUUUCCGAUGUCCGAUCCGAUUUAGUUUCCAAAAUUAAUUCUAAAAAUUUCUGAUUUUCUUCUGAAAAAUAAACCUAUAAAUAAUUUAUACUAUAUAACACUUAUUUUAAGUUUUUUUUUUGUUUGUUUGUUUUCUGAGACAGUAAUUUGAUUUAAGUUUUGUUUUAGGAUUUUGACAUAUUGAAUUGUUGUUAAAAGGUUUAUUGAAUAUUAUGAUGUGGUUUAUUUUUGUUAGUAAUUAUUAGUUUUACCUUUAUCGACUAUUUUUGGAAAAUUAUGAAAUUUCAAAACAUUUCCGCUAAGUUUGGAAAAUUUAAAACUUAAUUGAUUUCGGAUUUUUGUCAGAAAUUCCGAAAUUUCCGGGCCUUUUGAAAUCGGAAUGAAUUUUUAGAUUCCAAAAAAUUUGGAAUUGGAAUUGGAACUGAUUUUGUACUUCCGAAUUUUUUUUGGAAAUUUUCCAAAAGGCUAUUCAGAUCGAUCCGAUCCAUCCGACUUUCACUCCUAAACAGGAGAGACUAAAUAUGUUAUUUUGUGAACUAAGGAGCCCAAAUAUAAAAUCGAGGUAAACCGGAAAGACGAAGAGUGUAAUUUUCCCUUGUAUAAAUAUUAUUGUUAUCUAUCGGCCCUCGUUAGAAGAGAUGGUAUCUAGUGUUUACAAUUAGAGUAGAAGUCUAGUGUUCUAGUGUUUCAUGCAAUGCACUCACAAUCCACUAAUUGUUCGAUAAAACUGAUAAAUGUCGACAUAAAUUUACACUUAUGCAGCUUAUGUGAAGCGGAAAAAAAAAAAGGUUUCGAUAUUAUCAAAAAAUUAAUAUUCAAAGCUACGAGUCCUGAAAUCGAAAUCAUGUAAUGCUGUCACAAUCUACUAAUCGUUCUGUAAAACGGAUAAAUGUCAAAGUAAAAUAUGUCGAAUAGUCACCCAGACGAAUAUAGUCUGCUUCCCGAAUGUAGAUAGACUAUUAGCGUAUAUAUAUAUAUAUAUAUAUUAUAUAUAUUACGUAUAUAUGAUUAUUAUUAUUUAUUACAGUUACCUUGUGUAAUAGGUUACCUUGUGUAAUAGGUUAGGGUUUCCUACAUGUAACUAUAUAUAUGAUUAAUAUACGUGAGAGACAUAAUUCUCUCUUUCUCCAACUCUAUUUCUCCUAUAUAGACAACCAAUCUAAAACCCUCGAUAACAUUUCAAAUUAAUUCAAAUUAUUAUGAGGGCAUUUUCGUUUACGGCAAAGCCCUCAGAGGUGCACUGUGGUGACUGAAGAGGAGCGGUGCUCGUUUCUCCGUUAUCCAACCUUGCAUAACCGAGAGUGACCUGCAUUAAAAUUAACAUUAGUUGGGUUACGGCUACGCAAAAAAAAAAAAAAAAAAAAAAAAAUCAACGUGAGUUAUACCUGCAAUUGAAUUAAAUAUAUUUCAAAGAAAAAUGAAAAAAAAAUCUUUUGGAAUAGCUUUCAAAUGUUGGAUAAUGAACAAUGUUGUAAGAACCGGACCGGCCCGGCCGGUCGGACCGGUUCGACCGCGACCCGGCGACAAGGCGGUCCGGUUUAAGCUCCAAACCCGGAAAAAUCAAAAAUCGGGGUCGAGUGACCGAAACCCGGUUCAACCGGGCGAAACCCGGAAACCGGCGAACCGGUUGAUGACCCCGGUUUUGUCAAAACAAAGUAAAUGGUGGGCGGAUCUGCGCGGCGGUGGCUGAAUCCGGUGGUCGGAGGCCGGAUGUGGACGGAUCUCGGCUGUAGACUGUUAGGUGGACGGAUUUGGGCGGCCGUGGGCUGAAUACGGUGGUCGGAGGCUGGAAAUUGAGAAAGAAAUGGGAAAAAUACAGAGAAAAAAAAAGAAAGAAAAUGAGGUAAGGUAGGAAGAAUGAUUUUUGGAUUCAAGGAGAGAGAGAGAGGAGAUAGAGAGAGAGGCUGUCAACGUGAAGCAGAAAGAAAAAAGAAGUGGGAAGAGAGAGAGAGUCAUGGAGAUGAGAGAAAAAAAUGUGAAUAAAAAAAUAAAAUAAAGUAAAAUGAAAGUGGGGUAUAUGGUAUUACUAUGGAAAAAUGUGGAAAAGAUAUAUAUAAAUAUAGUAUUUUUUAAGUUUAAAAUUAAUAAAAUAAUUAAAAAAAUAAAAAUAAAGAAAUAAUAAAAAACCCGGGUCGAACCCGGUUGAACCGGUCCAACCAUGACCUGAAUGCCUAUCCGGUUUUGUGUCCGGUCCGGUUCUGAUAACAUUGAUAAUGAAUGCAUUCUUCCCUUUCUUUUAUUUUUUUCGAUUUUCUCAAUUAGAGAAGAUAUUCUGUAACAUAAUUAGUGAUCAAAUAUGGCUAAAACAGCAAGAAAAAUAGAAUAAAAAUAUGGUUCGAACAUAAAUAACAACUAUUGUACGAUAAUUUGGUCUUACAAAAAUGCACAAAUAUUAAUUGCACAGAGUUGUUGCUAAAUCUGCACAACAACCCCCACUAAAUGACGAUUAUUUGGAUUAUUUGAACAAAAAUAAAUGAAAAAUAAAAUAAAAUGUUGUACAAGAACAUAGUGAAAAUUCGUUAAUUAAGAACAUAUCGAAGAACUAUUGUACGAGAAAAGCUAACCUGAACAGCACAACCAGCUAUCAGAGGCCCAAUCGUAGUACCGCAGACGAGCAGAUGGUCUGGUUGAAAGCCGACUUUCAAAUAGUCCAGCUGUACAGGUCCGUUAUUACAUAUUACGAAACGGCCUGUGAGGGUCGCUAUGGAAAAAAUACCCUGCAGGUAUAACAAUAAAUUGCCUAAGUUGAUGUAUUAUAUAGAUGAUAACAUAUUUGUCAAAAAAAACUAUAUAAUGUAAUUGUUCUUUUAGAAAUGAUAAAAUGUUUGAAAAUUAUUUGCACUAAAUCUGCACGAAUUCCCCACUAAAUGACGACAUCUAAUACACUGAAUUAUCUAUUGAAUCAAGCUAAAUAGCUAAAGUUAAUCCUAUUCUGCUAUAUUAUUUCGUACAUUAUGUAGCGGGAAAACUAUUACAGGAAGAAACGAAUACGUACGAGCGACUCUACUAUAUAUGUACAGAGAUAUGGUAGGGAAAGAAUGGUUUACCUCAAAUAUAGUUGGCGAGGAGCCGUUUAUAUGUAUUCUAGGAUUCGAUAUAUCACCUGAUACAGUAUAUAUACAUCCCUCCACUGACAAACCUCCACCAUUACGCUCUUCGAACGAAUCUCGUAUCCUUUUCCCAAUGUCCUAAAACCACAAAAAAAUUAUUUUCAAAAAAUAAAAUAAAAUAAGAUACCGUGUAUGCACAAAAGAAUAUUUCUUAGGAAUAUCAUAAAUUGCACUAAAGUUGCACGUGUAGAAAAUUAUCAUAAUUUUAAGAUCCGAUCAAAAUAUCAGAUUGUUGCGGAAUAUAGAGAUUUAUAAACUCAAUAAAAAUAAAAAAAAUAUACGAAGAAUGUCGUUUUAAAUUUUGAUAGGACGUGAUUACGUGAACAUGCAACCAUAUUUACUAUAUUACUAGUUUACUAAAUCGAUUUACAACCUAAUUAAGUUCUAACUUCUAAUUAUCUUAGUACAUCAUUAAAUUACACAACAACAUGAAUUUAUUAUCUCUUUAACUAAUUUUUUAAUUAAAAGCAUUAAUUCUACUCCGAACAUUAUAUUUCGGUUAAUUCUACUCCGAACCCCUGCAACUAUAAGAGCUUAUUCGACCGUUUUACGAUCUACUUAGACUCUUCUAAAAAUAGUGUUUUCAAAGAUGAUAAAUCAUUAUUUAUCAUUUUAUCUGUAAUUCCUAAUUGAGUGGCCAAAAGGAUCCUUUAGGGAAGGAACUGAAUUUUAUUGCAUCCUAGAAAAACAAAUUCCAACUUCCGAUUUGUCACGUAUUUGUACCUUUUAUUGGUUUUGUGCCCUAAUUUGUGACGUCUCGUCGAUUUAAUUAUGAUAAGAUAGAUCUCUUCGGACAAAAUUUUGUAGAGUCAAAUAAAUGCAGCCGUAUCGAAAAGGACUCCUAUUUAUUCACUUACUAUAAAAGUUAAGAUAAAACAUUCAAGUUUCAAUUCAAAUAAAAUCGAAAGGUCUCACAAUCUAGAUAAUCAAAUCAACACAGAGAAGCAAAAAUCAAAAAUCAAAAAUAAAAAAUAGAAAAUAAAAAAUAAAAAAAAUAGAAAAUAAAAAACCAGAAUAUGUGGACAGAUGAAACCAAUAAGCACAUGAAUGGGGAGAUAACGAGACACAGAUAAACACACAAAUAGUUGAAUUAAAUCGAAUUCUAUUAUUUCAAUAAAAGCCAAUCAUUUUUAUACUUUAGUAGAAAACGGUAAUAAACAUGAACUAUGUCUUAGUCUCACAUUCAUUUGCUAGCAAUCAACCAACUUUUGCAGAGAAUUUUGUUAUAACAAAAAACAAAAAAAACACAAAAAAAAAAAACUGAGCAGCAAAAAUUAAUAAAGGAAGCAACCUCUCCCGUCUUUAUAGUAACAACGAAAGGAGACAACUGAGCAGCAAAAGACGUAAAGGGGUGUUUAGGAAUCCUCGGUCGAGGUAUAGAAGGUCGACGAACGGAGCUCGAUGCAUCGAAUUUUGUAUAUUCAAGUGCCAAAAUUACGGGACGCUCCUCCGCUGAUGGAUUUUUUUUACUCCCACAUAUAUGUGACAUUUUAAAUUUUAUAGAAAAUAUCCCGGAAAAUAAUUUUAGAAAAUAUUUAGGAAGGGCUUGAAGAGGUUGAGAGAGUGAGAAAUAAUCGAAGUGAAAAUGAGGUUAAAUAGAUAAAGUUCUUGUCUUGG
rnacentral:lncRNA from 1 species